GGGACUAUAGUAUCCGUUGGGCUGUAUUGCUCUUGGUUUAUGUGCAAAUUUGCUGCUUUCUUCAGACAAGCAAGAAAUUUGGUAUUUGUUGUUGGCACUACUCAAGGAAAGCUAAAAUUGAUGAGGGAGUUUGGUGGUUUCCUCCAACGGAAAGCUAAAAUUGAUGAAUUUGUUUGGUUUUCUCCAAAGUCCCAUUGUUUAAUUUGUCAGGCGAGCUCUCUAUCUGCACUGAUAUGUAUAGCCAGAUUGAGUGUAAUUUUUGCCUUUCAACCAUUAGCUAGAACAUAUGCCAUCAUACCUGGAGGAUGUGACAGCCUGAGUAAUUAAGAACCUAAAUCAAAUAAUCAACAGGGUGAUUAAGAAGCAAAUCAAAGCUAACUCGGAAUUUUUGAGAGUAAGGUCUAAAAAUACGACAUAUUUUGAACCAAGUGUUAAAACUCCCUCCUGUUGAGAAUGACUUGUGAAGCAAAUAAAAACAAAUUUUAUAUAGUAACUUAAAUCUUGACCAAUAUACUAGUGGUAGAACUUCUCAAGUUGAACACCUUCCACUCACAUCACUUCUUCUGAUUUUGAGUAGAGGAUGUUCCAAAAUCGAGUAGACGAUCGGUCAAAUUUCAAAUCCAAUUCCAAAAUAGCUUUGACCGACGCUCCACCAAAGGUCCUACCAUCCUAUCUCCAACUUCAUCGAGCUUUUCCUUGUUGAUCUUUAUAAAAGUCAUAGCAGAUAUCCUGUUCCCGAACCUUCACUUUUGGAAAUCAAACCGCGUAGUUCAAACUUGGUGUGAAAACACAUGUUAUACACGACACCUUCGUCACGACACACAUCACGAGCACCAGCAUGCAUAAUUAAGCAUCAUGAACAUCGUUUUGUGCAUAGUUGACCGUUAUGAGCAUCAGUUGUGCAUAAAUGAAUGUUUCGGCCAUGCAUUGUUAAGUGCCCAGAAUUUUGGUAUUUAUUGGUGAAAAAUCAAAUUUGUGAAGGAACCCCAAUUUCUUCCAUACCACUGUACCCCCAAAUAUUUCAUUCAAAUACUAGACACCAUUUAGUGAUUUUACAAUAUUUUUACCAAAUUUUUCAGUGAUGUUUUCUGGGGUUAAAAAUGCAUUUAAUGUUCAAUUUUAGCUUUUUUGUUUUGACGAUUGUGUGCAAACAUAAAAGCUUUUGAGUUUAUUUCCAACGAGUAUUUUUGGGUAAUUUUUUAACACCUGUAGCUAUGUUAAAUAAGGGAGCAAAGUUGGCACGUUUUAUUUCUUCGCGGACCCACGCGUCAGCACUUCUCCUUCCUCACGUCACCAGUUGCAAAGCAGUUGGCCUGCAGGGGCCGAGCUCCACCUGGCCGGUGCCCAUGGUGGCUUCCCUUCUCGCCAAUCCUUGCGCCCCAUGGUGAGUCACUCCGUCCGUUCUUAUCCUCACCAUCCUCCUCCUAUAUAUAAAGCCCCCAACUCUCCCUCCUCCAAUCUCCAUUAACAGAACACCGAGCUCCACUUUUCCCCAAACUUUGCUGGCGAAAUCCGCCGCGGUUAGUGCAUCUCCGGCCGAUUCCUUGCAGCCACGGCGCCUCCUCGACGUCUCGAUUCCGUUUUGCUACUUCCCGGGCUCCCUCCCUCACCGGACGACGCCCUCCACGGGAGCUCCUCCGCCGCCUCCUUCGUGCGUCGUUCCUCCCUGUGCGCCGCCCUCCUCCAAGUGCCUGACUCCCUGCUGGUGUGCUCCCUGGCCCAAGGUGCCGCCCCUCUCCCUUCCCAAGCUGCCCCCUCUCUUUCUCCCACCUUCAGCCCAAGGCCAUGGCCAGUCCGGUCGUUUUCUGUACGGUGCGUGCUUGUUUAUGUGCGUGGGGAAGAUUUGAGAAGAAGAAGGAAGUGUAGGGGGUUAUGGGGAAGUUUCAGGGACUUUUGCGCAAUUAACUCAUUGACAUGGGGGCUAGAUUGAAAGUUUGUCUCGGUUUUUUUUUCCUAGAUCUAAAAUGGCUGCAACUUUGGAAAUUCAUAGUAAAUUGUAGAAAAAUCAUAAAAUAGCAAAUGAAGAUGUUUUGGAAUCCUUGUGAGAAGAGUUAUGCAAUAGAGUCAUAAUAUGAUAUGUGUUAGUAGAAAGUUUCUGAUGUGAUAAGGGGUACGUAUGAAGCUAAGUUAUGAUAAGUAGUGGUUAAGCUUUGAAGUUAACUCAUAUGUAUGCUCUCAUGUUAAUAUAACAGCUACUUAUAUAAGUUUUUCACCUUUACUUUGAUUCUUGCUUAAGGUAUUUAGGGUGUUCCAUGUUACCUAAGGCUAAUGCUAAUUAACUAUGUCCAUAGUAGUUGUGAGCUAUGUGUUUAACUUAUGCAUAUGUUACCAUGUUAAAGAACUAAAUGAAGAACCUUGUUGCAUAUGUGCUGAAAUGGCUGCUAGAGUAGUUUCUAUUGUGGUAAUAUUUUCGAGAUGAUAAUGAUAUUUUCUGUAAAUAUGGUGAAUACAAAAGAUGUAGGUAACUUCAUAAUAUAGCUUGUGUUAAAUUUUCAUCACCAUAAGCCUGAUGGUUUAGGAGCUAUAGAUUUUACAAGUUCAUUGUCAGGUUUUGCAUGCUCUAUGUAUAGGUCUGAAUGAUUGUGUUUUUUGACUUAGCUAAGCUUUGUAUCAUAUCUUGGAGAUAAUAUAAGAAGUGUAGGGUUUUUCAUGAGCUUUCCAAACUGUUAAAGAUCACCCCUUUUGGUGGUCUAAAUCUCCAGUUAUGAGCUUGUGAAAUGGAAUAACAGAAUCUGUCCUAAAGUGGACCGAGAUGUCUUCUUUGUAAUGUUUGACCUGGUUAACUUUAGUUUUAGCUUGUGGUGUUUAUAAAAAAGUUGUGAAUGGUUUGUUAAGCCUUCUAAAGAGUCUAGAACGACCUUGUUGUGAAAGCUAGAACUCAACUUAUGGGUGUCUAAAGUUUAAUGUCAGCAUCUGUCCAAGUUUGGACAGAUUUGCUUCUUUGUGUUUUCUAGUCUUGUUAACUGUUGAAUCAUCUUGAUACAACAAUAAUAAAGUUCUAUAUAAUUUAAUAAGGUUUCUACCAAGUUAAUAAUCAUGGUUGUUGGAGGUCUAGAACUCCAGAUAUGCAUCUGUGAAGUUCGUGUCAGUUUUCUAUCCUUAUUUGUACAGAUCUGCUCUUUGGUGUGUUUUCACCUUGUUAUUUGUCGAAUCAGCUUUUGGUGUGAGUAACAAAGUUUUAGAUAAUUUUCUUAACUUUAAAGAAAGUCUAGGAUCACCCUUUUUUGAUGCUUAUAUCUCUAUUUAUGGUUAAUACAAGUGACUAUUGUGCUGCUGUCAAGAUUAGGUGUAUGUGCUUAAUGUUAUUAGCUUUAACUUGAUGUUGCCUUGUGUGCUGGCUAGUUAGCUCAUAUCAUUAUUAGAGUUAAAUUGAUCUACCUAAGAAUCUUAUAAAUAUGUUAUAUAAUGUUGGUCAAGCACUUAGCUACUAAAUGGUCAUGUAUGCAUGUGGCUACAAAAUAACCUUGCUGCAUAGCUCGCUAGAACCUUAGUGAUGUUGGUGCAUGACUUGCUUGUGUAUGAAUUGUUUAAAAAUAAAUGUAAUAUAAUUUAUACCUGGAGGAACUUUGGGGUUACUUAUAAUACAUAUAUUAAGAAGCCACAUGUAUGCCAUACAAUAUGCGUUUUCCCAGUGUGAGAGAUGAGAGGACCACAUAGAAAGGGUACUAAUAUAUAUAGUUAGUUCUUUUACAAAAUCUGCAUGGAACGGGCAUGCAGAAUUGACCAAAGCACAUGCAGGUUUAAGUCUGGAUGAUGGGCACUUCCAGGGUUGGAUCCAGCAGGGGCUUGGAUCGAGGAAAGUGACAAGAGCACUCAAGCUCUAAUAACCAAUUGGUGGGACGGAAACAUGGAAGCCUGGUGGCAUGUGGUGUAAUGAACCGGCCUUGGAAAUGAAUUAGCAGGGGUGGAUCCUGUUGUUGCCUUUUUAAAAUAUUACUUUCGAUUUGGGGGGCAUGGUUUCUAUAAUGUAGUUUUUUUAUUUCUUUUCUUAUUAUUUGCUGAUAGCUGAUCUACAAGCAGGUUGUUGGGCAUCGAGGCAUGACAACCAGUAAUAUAUGAACGAGGCUAAUUAGUUAUUACAAAUAGUUAAUUAAAAUUAAGGAUACAUUAGUUAUUGUGAAUAAAAAAUUAUUUCUCUUGUUUACUAGUGCCCCGUUAUCACUGCCAACCCAAGCAGCUGAUUCUAAAAACUGACACAGAAGAAACCAUAUCAAAAUCAUGGAAAAUGGAUCAUUGACUGUCUCGGACCAAUAUCUAGCACCCGGCAAUGGAGAGGAAUGGAUCGGAGUCCUUCGCAUAGCUUCCUGCCACUGAGUACAAGACCACAGGGUGAUAAGGCUGUGUUAAAUGAAUGGUAUACAUGCAUAGAAUGGUUCACUUUGAAUGGGAUGAGCCAGCACAGGAAGAUGGUACAAGCUAAGCAAGUACCAUUUUUGUUUAUCUGUAGUGUGAUACAUGCUUCUAUUUGUUUGCUUGUAUGGAAUGGUAUGGGCUCAUACAAGAUCAUGUUUGUUUGGAUAGGGAUGGAUUAGCCUGUUAUUAACCUAACUUGGUGAGCUUUAUCUCAUGUAUUGCUUUAUUGCGUAUCUUUUUAUAAUAAGUCUAUUUCUCCAUAUAAUUUGUGAACAUUAUAAAAUCUGAAUGUGCAAGACAUAAUCUAGUAUUUCAAAUUUAUUGAUACAUGGAAAAAAAAUCAAAUUCCUUAUGCUGAAUGAAACGAAGACAAAUACCAGAUAGGAGAUCUCAAGUACUUAUAUGUCUAUAAAAUACCAGAUUAUUAUCACCUCACUGUUCUUGGUACGUCACCAAACAUAUGUUUAGCUGGCAUAUAAGUGGUGUUUUGCUUACAAUGACUUUCAUGAAAAAGAUCUAGAGUGAUGGACCAAGCAGAACUACAUGUUUGGAAUUGAAGAACCUAAUUCAAUAAAAGUGAAGGACAAAAGUAAAAUGACAACUGUAGCAUAGGGAAAGUGGCAUAAAAAAUAUCAUUGUGAAAUAUCUUGUGAUAUCUAAUUGUGCGAUGCCAAACUCAUUCUCCUGAGAUUCGGAACUAGCCACACAGGGGUUGGAGAGUUGGACCAAAGCUGAGGGGAUACAAUUUCCUUGUUCCUAUUGUUUUUCAGGUCAAAUUCUCCAAUAUCACGCCUAUCGUUCUUGUGACACGUGACAUCAAGAAAGUAAUCAUCAGUAAAGUAGGCAUGAUUUGGCUUCAGUUGUGGAUAUUCUUUGGCACAAAGGCAAAGUGAUUGGUUACGCCCAAUAAACAGCACGUUCUCACCCAAGGUACCUACUUCCACUACAAGCUUUUCCGAUGUAAGGUCCACUUUAUGUACUUUGAUCCUGUUGGUCUUGUUGGGCGGCGGCGUAGACAGUUCUAAAAUAGAGUCAUAGUCUUUACCGUUAGAUCUAGUAAUUUGCAGCAGUUCACCAGAUGGAGCUUGAACAAUGUAAACCCUGUCUGAUGCAGACCACUUCACCCGUUCCAGAACUAUCUUCAUUGUAACUGCUGGGGCACAAAGAUCGAACGCAUGGAUUUCUCCUAAUGCAGUGGUGGCAUAUAACAGUCCACCCUGAAAUUGGCAGUCUUCAUAGCAAGUGUGUGGCGGCAACCACGUCCACUCAUUGUCUCCUGCCCUUGCAAACGAAAGCUGACAUUCUGGGUCGUGGAUCAGCACCACGAAGUAGUCCCCGGUGGAUGGAUCUGAAGAUAGAAAGGCCUUGUCGAACAGCAUAUCACGGAGCUCACUGAGAUCAAGGAUUGAUGGCUUAUCAUAGAGCCACUCCUCUCCAGUGUACCACAAGUACUCAUAGUUACAAAGGGUGCCAGCAUCAUCAAAUAUCGGCUCCACCUGCUCGAUGGUUGUGACCGAUGGCAGUGCGAUCUGAUCACCGGUGAUGGGGUUGACAAGCUGCAGCUCAGAUCUCUCGUCUGCGGUGAUUAUCCAGCCAUAGGACGAACCAAUGACCUCCCUAGUUCGGAUAGGUGGGUCCGGGAGAGUCAAUGUGUAUGCCUUCUUCUCAGCGAGGCUGUAUAGACCCAUAGCCCUCUCACCCAUGGAUUCAGAAGUGUACAGGAGGCACGGUGUCCGCUGCAGCUUGCAAUGUUCAGUAGCGCACAGGCUUGUGUAGGCGGCGCGCCACGAGGCACAGACUGAUCCUGCACGUACAAGGUCAGGGGUCUCAAGGAGGGCAAAGAUAUCCAUCAGGAUAUCCUGUGGCAGCCACGGCAGUUCACUGCCUGAAGUAGGUGCCACCACGGGUGAUGGAUGUAGAAACUCAUCUAGCUGGAGUAAUGUCUUCAUCAGUGAACAGGUUGAGGAAGCAAAUAUCUUGGCAAGGGCCCGAAAGAGCAGAUUGCACAGACAGCUAAGGUUCAUCCUCUCGGCUCUGCUGGAUAUGUCCAUCGAAGCAAAUCAAAGCUGGAUCUCUCGCCUUUGCAAGACCACGGAUGAUCGAGCUCCCUACAACGGGAGACAAAAGACGCUUGGAAUCUUUCGGAGUAGUACAAGGCACAAGGGCAGGCUCCUGGUUCCGUUCUUAUACCCAGCAACCCCAGGAUCCGAAUUCGACUAGGUUAACGGAAGAUCUGUGUUGUGGAUGUGGAGAUCAGACUUACCCCGUGCAAGAUUCGGAGGUUCCGGAACAUCCACACCGAUUCCGGCUCCGAUAAUCCGAUUCCGCAGACGGGUAACUCAUCGGAGGCAGCGUAGGGCGUAGGCAGACGGGAAACGGAACCCAACGAAGGGGAAGGCCUGCCGGUUGCUAGACUCGAUGAAGGCGGAAUUGAAGUCACAGGCGGCUGCAAGGGCAUCGGUAAAAAAAAAAAAAAAAACUUCGUCUAGUCAAUUGCUUAUUUUUUUAUUUUAGCGGGGACCGAUAUUUUUUCUGUUUAUAAUUGACAAAUAAAUGAAUGAAUCCAGAAUCAAUCAAGCUCUACCCUUCGUCUAGUCAAGUCUUAUUAUACAUGGAUGCAGGUGAGCUUAACACGAAUAUUUUUUAAUUAACACAUAUAUAUGUUUCAUUAGUUACUUACACAAAUAUAUAUUUUAAAUAUUUUCAGUUUUGGGCUUUUGCCGGUGCUCCUUUCUACGAGGUAUAGAGGGGGCUUUAAACUUCCGAAAGCCAUUUAAGCUUGUUCUAACUUUAAAACCCAUCAGGUCCAAUUAGAAAACGCAGAUUCAACAUUUUAACAAAAUUAAAUCAACAUCUAAAAACACUAGAUUCAACAUUUUCCAGAAUAAAAAUCAACAUUUUGUAAGAAAAUACUGCAUUCAACAUUUCUCACCGAUUCUUUCAACAUUUGAACAAACCAGGUUCAACACUUUUUCAAGGAUGAAUCAACAUUUUGUUUUUUCCCUCUUUUUCAACAACCAGGGUAAAGGAUAGCACGCCAGUGCUCCCACACACAGCAUGUGGGGCUGGCGAGCCUAGGGGCGGCGCCAUCGCGGCCUACAGUGCGAGGGGUCUACAUGCCCGUGGGGCGACGGCACAGGGCCGGCGUCGCUCGGGGUUGGUGGCGCGUGGGGUCAGCGCACUUGGGGGCGGCACGCGUGGCGAGCAGGUGCGCCCACUAGGUGUGGCGGCACAGCGAGUCAGCGCGCCCAUGGAACCAGUAGUGCCAAGGGGGCCAGUUGAGAGUCGGGGUGGCACGUGCACCGGCAUGGUGGCAAUGGAAAUAGGGGUAGCGGUGGGUAGAUUUAGGCUAGGGCUUGAAAGAGAAUGAGGUGCAUUUCACGGAAAAUAUCAUGUGUACGAAUCUCAAACAACAGAAGUUGUAUAAGGAAAAAAACUACCGGAAGCUAUAUAGGUUUCCUAAGGUAUAGAUGGUCAGAUGGGCCAGGCCCAACCAGCGGCCAGAGGCACGGCUCUAAAAAGCAAGCCACUAAUUUACCACGACAUGUAGUUCAAAGAUCAUUUCAACAAGACAUGUAAUUCAAAUGAGAAGGAAUUCCAAAACAUAUAUACAAAUAUAUUUAAAUUCUAAAAAUGUGUAUAUUAUUGCCUACAUUGUAAAUAAUUUAUUUCAUGAAUAAACAUACUAAAUGUUGAUUAUAUUAAAUAUUUAUGCAACAAUGACAAAGUUAUCUAUUUGUCACGUUAGAACAUUCUUGGGAGGAUGGAAUUGAAAUGAAUAUUGUGCUUUGGAAAGAACUCAAAUUUAGGGAGACUAUUACCUCAGUUUCUAAUGUUUUUCGGGGAAGUUAUUAGGAUGUAUUUCAAUUCCCAACUAAUUUUUUACUCUGAGGAACAUCUGACUUUUCUCUUCAAUUUUUCAUAUGGCUUAGAUGUGCAAAUCUUACAUAUAUGUUCUUUCAUAAUUUACAUAUCAUAUUUACAACACAUGUAGUUGAUAUGCAAAGUAAUUCCAGGAAAUAGGCAGAAACACAUAUACUUCUCAAUAAGGUAUAUUGGGUGUAUGAGUUAAAACUGAACUCAACUCAACCUGGUCGCACCCGUAUCUCAACAUCCUCCCCGCCCCCCCCCCCCCACCUCACCUCACCACCACACUGCCUCAGGUUUGUCCUUCCCUAAUAUUCUAUGGCCAUCACACCUCAACUUCGGUCAUCGGCUAUUGCCUAGCGGCACCCCGCCACCUCUCCUCACCGCCAACAACCCACUUCUAUCUCCUUAAUCUCUAUCCUAUCCAAAUAAUCUCCGAUCAUCACACCCCUGCGCCCGACGCGGCUCACCACUAGUCAUUAGUCACUUAGGCCGACGAGGCCCUACCACCUCUCCUUGCCACCCACAAAUAGUGGUGGAACCAUGAAUUUUUUUUUUGGGGGGGGGCUGGCAAAACAUGAUUGACACCUCAUGCUACAUUUGAUGGAAAAAAAUGUAUCAAGAUAUGUUGUACACGUGUCAUUAAAUUUUUUAAUGCCCCGUUAGGGAGGACUUAUUUCAGCUUGGGCUUCACCUAUUUUGCGCAAAACGAGGCACUGUAGCAUGAAGCUAUUUUGUAAGCUGGUGCUAAAAUGAACUACAAGCCGGGUGAAGCUAUUAUUUUUUGCAUCACCGGCUUUGGCUUCAGUGGUGAAGCUGUUUUGGGAGAACCCCUCCCAAAUGGCCCCUAAAAGGUUCACAAUUUUUAGAUUCAGGGUUUCAUGGAGGUAAGCAUUAUGGAAAACUGAAAUUUUUAUAUUGCAGUCUCUUUCUUAUUGUAAUAGCAUUCUGCAUUCUUCUUAAUUAUAAAAUAAUGUUAAAUGGCUUAAUUCCUUAAUUUUUUGAUUAACCAUCUUUCUUCUUAAAAGAUUAUAACAUAAGUUUAGUUUGCCACAUUACACUGGAUUAAACACAAAAUAGACAUGGUGAUUUGAGAAGACUUGCUAUAUAUAAUGGUCUAUGUGUGAUGCAUAUCACUAUAUCAGCAUAUGUGCACUCCCUGCCUGCCGAGACUGAAGUGCUCGACAUGUAUAUGUUGCCCGGCGCUAGGACCUUCCAAUUCGUUCUCCAUGGCCCUUAGCCUCGAGUCGAUCAUUCUGCUGAGGCACAGCUAUUUGGCUACUUAUUUCGAUCUUUGUGCUCCAGAAUUACUUGUUGGAUGUUGAAUAGCUAGCUAGUUAGGCAUCACAUGCAUCAGUAUGUUUUGUUGGGUAUACUUGAUCACUACUUUGAGUCCUCCUGAUCUUUGAAAGUUUAAAGGAUUGAGCUGAAGUGCAAAAUUUGGGGUGUGUGUGUGUGUGUGGGGGGGGGGGGGGGGGGGGGGGGCGGUCCGGGGGGCGGGGCGCUGUCCCGAGACUGCCUAUUUCCGAUCACUAACCACCCAAGUGAAAGCACCCCAUUGCAUCGCCACGCUGCUGAUAGCACGUGUCAAUCAGACUCCAUUUAGGUACAAUCGAGAUAGAUGCUUGAAGAUUAUUUUUUCAACACAUUUAGUUGAUAGGCAAAGGAAUUUCAAUAAAAAGGCAGAAUAUAUUUAAAUUCUAAAAGAGUGUAUUACUUCCUAUAAACUUAAAUAAUUUAUUUCAUGAUCAAACAUACUAAUCAAGGUUAUAUUAAACUUUUAUGCAAAAACGAUAAAGUUAUCAAUUAGAGAGAAGAGAGUUGACUAAAAAAGCAUGUGAUUUAAUAGGAACACCAAUUAAAGAAAACCCUUGCUGUAGUUAGAUUUUCUUGAUUAACUUUUUGGGAAUUGUUAUCAUGAUGUAUUUUAUUCCUAUCUAAAUUUAGAUUUUUAAAAAAUUUGAGUACUAUUAAAUUCCAUAAACUAGAAAGUGACUACUAAAACUAGAACAUAAAGUAUACCAGCAUUUAAAUUUUCCUUUCCAAAUUAUCAUGUGGCUAAAAUGUGCAAAUGUACUCUCUCUCUCUCUCUCUCUCUCUCUCUCUCUCUCACACACACACACACACACACACACAUAUAUAUAUAUAUAUAUUCAUAACUAGCAAUAUAUGCCUAUACACUAUAUGCGUAUAUUAUCACACUGCAACAUUAAACAUGCUUUUGUAAAAGUUUGACAUAUUAUACACUAUUUAUGCUAUUUCUUAUAUAAAUAAAAGAGUAAUAAUUGUAGUCCUCCCCGUAAAAAAGAGCAGGGCUAGAACGUGCUUGUAAAGAUCAUAAGGGAUUAAACAUAACUAAACACUAAAUUUCAGUGAUAUUACUCUAAGUAAGAGGACUAUGGGUUAAUUCCUAUAAAAAAGAGGACUGAGUGUUGCCAGCCCGAUUUUUCUUUUAUGUUGUCAGCUAGGUUUCUCUCUAGUUUCAUGCGAAGAAGGCAAAGGAUUCCCCCCUGUUGGAACGGGGUUUCUCUGUGAUCUUGCACACGGAAGGUCGAUUCUCCGGGUUUCAUCUAGCCCAUUAAGCGGCAGGGUCAGCUAGCACUGCCGUUGCCCUCUUCCAUCCGCCCCCUCCAUGCCAUCAGCGGCUCACUGCACAAGGAGCCCAGGAGAGCACGCUCGUCGGAACUAGCUCACUCCCGUACCAAUGCCGUCUCGCCCUCCUUCCUCCGCGACCCCAGUGUGCCCCCGCUCCACCAUCUUGAUAGUUCACCUUCCUGUCACCUCGUCCUGUCUUCUCCAAACCACUGCCAUCUCAUUGUGCCCUCCUUCCACUACUGGAGAAUUGACCUUUCAUCCUGGUGUUUUUAUCCCGGUAAACAUUGGUGCCUUUAGUCCCAGGUCAAAAAUGAGGCACCAAAAGCCCACCGCCUGUUGGGGGAGGGGGGGACGGCUUUAGUCCCAGUUAUAAAGACCAACCGGAUCUAAAUUCCCCCUAGUCCCAGUUGUAACAGCUAAAAAUAUCGCAACGACGGGCGCCCACUUUUGUCCGGGACAACAGGGGGAAUCGUUUGUCCCGGUUGGAAUUUCCAACAGGGACUAAACCUCCUCCCUAUAAAUCCAACCAGCCCGAAACUCUUUUUCCUUCCCCAGCCCGAGCCACUCCACUAGAGACAUCCUCCUCUCCAUGGCGAGCAAGCAACCUUAGUGGAGGUGCUGCCCGAAUUUUUUCCUCAUUUCUGUGGGGAUUUGACUCAUCCAAAGUGUUAUGAAGGUUAGCUACUUCAUCCUCCCUUCAUUUAUUGUUAUUAUGCUUUGUUUUAUGAUUUAGAGAGGGAGAAAAAUAAGUUUUUUAGAAUGAGGGAGAAUGGAGAGGAUUUUUAUUUAUAUAUGUUUUUGAGCUAGAAUUUGAUGGAUAGCUUGCUUGUUACAUAUUAUUUGUAUUAGUAAAAAGAACUUGAUCAAUAUUAGGUAUGGGAAAAAAUAGAGUAAAUGCGUGUUUAAUAUUUAGUCAUUGCAAUAAAAUUAAAGUAAAUAAAUUGUAGGUGUAAGAAAAUAGAAUUUGGUCAUUGCUACAAUUUUUCAUGUCACUAUAAUUUAACAAUAAUUGUAUUUCUUUGACCAAUAAUUUAUUUAUCUCAUGUUUAAUGCAAGAACUAAAUACUAUAAAUUCACUUACUCUACGUUUUCCCCUACCUAAUAUUGAUCAAGUUAUUAAUGUAAUACUAAGCCCUAUGUUCAUUUUCUACGUAAUACAAAGCAGAUGGACCGACAAUGGAUGUACCACCUCCGUUCCUCCAAUCUCAAAGAACAGUAUCUGCACAUGGCAUAAUGUACUUUUACUAUUCUCUGCACAUAACUCAAUCUUCUCCGAAGUCUAUGGGGAGUCACCUCCGUUCCUCCAGUGCCAGAAAAUAAUGGUAGAAUAUAAGAGCUUCGAAUCAACAAACACAGGUUGAAUAUCAUAAAAGAAUCUUGAAAUAGUAUUCCAAAUGCCUUUUGGAACCUAAUUGUCACAAUAGAAGUAUGUUGGCCCAAUAUCCUCUUCAGGCAAAGAUCUAUUAACUGACCUUGACCUAGCAGCUUUUAGUUGGUUUUGGCUUGCCACCAUGGGCCAUGCUUAGUGAAUAGAUCUUUUGCCUGUACGAGCUAUUGUGUGUGUGCCACCACACUUCUAUUAUGAGAAUGUGGCACUUGCUCCAAAAGACAUUUGGACAAUUAUUUCAAGAUUCGUUUACGAUAUUAAGCCCGAGUAUGUGGAUUCGAGGAUCUUCUGUUGUACCAUUAUUUUCUGGUACUGGAUAUGUGGAGGUGACUCUCGAUAGACUUUGGAGAAGAUUGAGUUAAGUGCACAGAUGGAUUGGAGGACGAACAUUCUACUAUGUUGUACCAUUAUUUUAGGAUAAUUCACUAUGUGAAGUCUAUUACAGAGUGUCUAUAAUCUUUAGUGUACAUGUAUCUUUAUUGUCUUAUUAUGAGUGUAAUCUUCAUAUGUAUCUUUAUUGAUUGUUAUGAAUGUAGAAUGGUGUAAUUUUCAUGUGAAUUGUUUUUAUCUUUAUGAAGGUUGAUUGGUGUAAAUUAUGAAUAUUGAUCAACUUCUUUAUCUAAUACAAAGACCUAUGUCCAUUUCUCACGUAAUAUUUAUUUAUCUAAUAUUUUUUUAAGGACCAAAUAUUAUUAUCACAUUAACUCUAUUUUUUUCCUACCUAAUAUUGAUCAAGUUUUUUAUCUAAUACGAAAACCUAUGUCCAUUUCUCCUAUAAUACGAUGCAGAUGGACUAGCAAUGGAUGUAUAACGUGGACAGAUGGACCAAGGAGUUUUUUGAUGGCUUGCAUUAUUUUCUCGAAGUGGCCAAAGCCAACAAGCCACAGAACAGAUUCAUAUGCUGUUCAUGCUUCCAAUGUAGUAACAAGAAGGACUACUCUUCCUGGAGGACUGUUCACAGCCACUUGUUUAGAUACGGUUUCAUACCUAACUAUUUGAUUUGGACCAAGCACAACGAAAGAGGGGCUAUAAUGGAAGACGACGAAGAAGAGGAGGAUGAUAACAACAUUCCGGACUGGGCUGCAGGUCAAGCUUUUGCAGAUACUACAAUGGGCGAGGCUGAUGAAGAUGAGUUUGUAGAAGAUGGUCCUAUUGAUGAUCUUAGUCAGGUGCUACGGGAUGCACACAGAGAUUGUGAAACUGAGAAGGAAUCAUAAAAGUUGCAGCGCAUAAUAGACGAUCACAAAAAUUUAUUGUACUCAGAUUGCAAGCAGGGGCAUAAAAAACUGGGUACCACACUAGAAUUUGUGCAAUGGAAGGCACAAAAUGGUGUGUCCGAUAAGGCAUUUCAGGGGAUAUUGAAACUUGUAGAGAACAUUCUUCCCGAGAAUAAUGAAUUGCUAUCCACAACAUAUGAAGCUAAACAGGUUGUUUGCCCUCUGGGAUUCGAGGUUUAGAAGAUACACGCAUGCCCUAAUGGUUGUAUUCUCUAUCGUGGUGAUGAAUAUGGGAAAUUGGAUGCUUGUCCUGUGUGCGGAGCACUGCGAUAUAGGAUCAUGUGAGAUGAUCCUAGUGAAGUCGAGGGGCAGCAACCCAAGAAGAGAGUUCCUGCGAAGGUGAUGUGGUAUUUCCCUAUAAUACCACAUUUGAAGCGUUUUUUCAGAAACAAGGUGAGUGCUAAGUUGAUGCGAUGGUACAAAGAAGAACAUAAGCAAGAUGAGAUGCUGAGACACCCCGCGGAUGGGGCCUAGUGGAGAUCAAUAGGUAGAGCUUUCCCGAACUUUGAAAGUGAUGCAAGGAACUUAAGGUUUGGUUUAAGUACUGAUGGAUUCAAUCCAUUUGGUGAGUUGAGUAGUGGUCAUAGUACUUGGCUUGUGACCCUAGGUAUGUUCAACCUUCCUCCUUGACUGUGCAUGAAGUGGAAGUUCAUUAUGAUGCCAGUGCUUAUCAAGGCCCAAAAUAACUUAGCAACAACAUUGACGUGUAUCUAAGACUGUUGGUUGAUGAACUUCUACUGCUCUGGAAGGAAGAAGGUGGACGUGUGUGGGAUGAGGAUAAACAAGAGAGCUUUGACUUACGAGCAUUGUUGUUUGUAACCAUCAAUGAUUGGUCUAGGCUUAGUAACCUUUCAGGAUAGACAAACAAGGGAUAUCGGGCCUACACCCAUUGUUUAGACGACACAGAAAACAUGUAUUUGACACACUAUAGGAAGGUCAUGUGUAUAUGGGCCAUCGUCGAUUUCUUCCUGCUAACCACCCAUUAAGAAAAGAAAGGGGUGCAUUUCAAAGGGGUGCCAGACCAUCAUAAAAAACCUGCACACCAUACUGGAAAGCGUGUCUUUGAGAUGAUAAAGGAUGUAAGGGUAGUCUUUGGAAAGGGUCUUGGUAGCGAACGUGUUUCGAAUGACGAUAAUGGAUGUGCACCCAUGUGGAAGAAGAAUUCUAUAUUUUGGGAGCUACCUUAUUGGGAAAUCCUAGAGGUCUGCAACGCAAUAAACGUGAUGCACCUGAUGAAAAAUAUUUGCGUGAACAUGCUAGGAUUCAUAGGUUAUUAUGAGAACUCAAAAGAUACAUUGGAAGCACGACAGAACCUGAAAUGUACGAAGCAAUGAGAUGACCUACAUCCAUAAAAGAGAGAUAGCGAACAGCACUACUUACGUCCUGCCAGUUACACUCUCAGCAAGGAAGAGAAGGAUAGCAUGUUUGAAUGCAUGAAUAGUAUUAAGGUUCUGUAUGGGUACUCCUAGAAUAUAAAGGGAAUAAUAAAUCUCAAGUCCCAUGACUACCACAUGCUGAUGACCCAGUUGCUUCCAGUUGUACUGAGGGGUAUUCUACCAGAGAUUGUACGAUUGACGCUCGUAAAGCUAUGCGCGUUUCUCAAUGCGAUUUCGCAUAAGGCAAUCGAUCCAACCAAGCGAGUAAAGCUAUAGAACGAUGUGGUACAAUGUUUUGUCAGUUUUGAGUUGGUAUUUCCACCAUCCUUCUUCAAUAAUAUGUCGCAUCUCCUGGUUCACUUAGUCAAAGAGAUUACUAUUCUCAGUUCAGUAUUUCUGCACAAUAUGUGGCCUUUUGAGAGGUUCAUGUCAGUCCUAAAAAACUAUGUUCAUAAUCGUGCCCGUCCAGAAGGAAGCAUCGCCAAGGGAUAUGGAACAGAGGAGGUCAUUGAGUUUUGUGUUGACUCAAUUAAUUUGAUUGGGGUUCAACAUCAUGCCACGAGGGGAGGUUGCGGGGAAUGGGGACCCUUUGAAGAAAAUCAAGUUUUAGCAAUGAUACCAAUUUGUUCCACAAAGCACACUUCACUGUUCAACAACAAUCAUCCUUUGUGGCUCCGUAUAUCGAGGAACACAAGCAGAUUCUAUUUUCCCAAUACCCGACGAAAUUCGAUGCCUGGAUUAUACGUCAUCACAUGGAUACUUUUACCUCUUGGUUGCGUCAACACCUUAUGGGUAACUACGCAAUUCACGAACAAAUCGCUUGGUUAGCUGGGGGACCAUCUAGCACAAUCGUGAAACUCGCUUGUUUAGGUCAUGCACGAACACUCUAGGCAAAGUGGAAAUUUAUUACUGAUUUUCUAUACAAGUACACUGGAUGCCAAACAUUAGCAGAAUGCUUAUGUUCCGACAAAUUAGUUCUACUGCUAAUUUUGGUCAAACAACUCCUUUAUGCUCAUGUUAGUUCGUCUUUUGAUUCCAGUACUUAGCUCUGUUCACUAAAUUCACUGUUCCUAUUCUCAUGCUUGUUCAUACCAUGUCCGUAGGAGUGAUACCUUGACUUUUAUGAUUUGUGAAAUCUUCCUUUUCGUAAUCAUGGAUGCCUUUGUAUUUCAAAAGUAAAGGAUGACGAAGUUUUCCAUUGCUUAUUUGAAUCUUCUGUGUUAUGCAUCUAUUCUGGUACUAUAGUUUGCAUAUCUUGCUCUUGUAAUGAAUUUUGCUACAGUUCUUGCCAGUUUUUGGCAUUCUCAAGAAUAGAUUUGUGAAAUCUUCCUUUUCGUAAUCAUGCAUGCCUUUGUACUUCAAAAGUAAAGGAUGAUGAAAAUUUCCGUUGUUUAUUUGAAUCUUCUGUGUUAUGCAUCUAUUCUGGUACUAUAGUUUGCAUAUCUUUCUCUUGCAAUGAAUUUUGCUAUAGUUCUUGCUAGUGUUUGGCAUUCUCAAGAAUAAACAAAUCAUUAAUGCCUUUCACAGGGUCAAGACUGUUUCAUCUGCAAAAAAGGAGGUCAUAUGGCGAAAGACUACCCUAAUAAGCACAAGAGGAAUGAUCAUCAAUCCACUUUGUGUUUAAGAUGCGGAGAAAUAGGUCACGAUAUGUUUGGAUGUACCAAUGAUUAUCCAGCAGAUGAUAUUAAGAUGAGUGUUUCUCUUGUUUUAGCUAAUAUGUUAUCUUGCUAUCAUGGAUUUUUUGUUUGUUGGUAUUUGUUUUUCAUGCUCUCCUCUCUAGUAUUGGUCUGAAGAAAAAUGCAUAUAGAAGAAUGAAGUUUUAGGUAGUUUUUUUUCGUUUUUGAGUGCAAAUCGUGUCUGGGCUAGGUGACUAGGCUUUAGGACUCAUGAUUCUAUGAACUGGGUAAAUUUUUUGCCGGGUCCUGCCUUUCAGUGGAAGGUGCCCUCUAUGUAAAAUCCCUGAAUCUUGCAUGUACAAUUUUGCAAACCACUGGAAGGUGCCCUCUAUGUAAAACUUAACUACUCAUGCUGUGCAAUAGUGUCCAUGUGCAAGUUUAGAUCCACGAAGCUCCUAAUCAUGAAUUAUCUAGAAGAGUUUUCCCCUUAUUAAUGACUGUUUCGGAUCAUGCAGCAAAUAAGAUGCUACAUGUGUAAUCAGAAUGGUCAUCUAUGCUGUUUCGACUUCUCUGACAAUAGCCCCAAACAAAUUAGCUGUUACAAUUGUGCCAAAUCUGGUCAUUCUGGUCUGGUAAGUUUUAAUGCUUAUAAGUUAUUAUUUGUGCUGUUUCCAUAUGUUGCUUUUCAUGGCAGGUGAUUAACAUUGGGCCUUCUAUUCUAGGGGUGUGCCAAGCAACGCAGGGAAACUAGUGCUGUCAUAACUGCAACCCAAUGCUACAAAUGUGGCGAGGAAGGCCACUUCGCACGUGGCUGCACAAAGAAUGCCAAGGUUGUUAUAAGCAUCUCACAAAUUGUCUGCCAAUUAGAGUUAACUGUGUAUUUAUGCCGUUCUGUUUCUUUUUUUUUUCGAGUCCGAUCGGUCGAAAGGCAAGUCAUCAUCGCACAGUCAGAGAAAGGAAAAAUGGAAAAAAGAUUCAAGUGCUAGAUCGGCUCCUCAUGAUGCCCGUAAAACAAGUAAAAGGAAAAGCCCCCAUUUCGAGGAUAGAAUGGAGAAGCCAUACACGAAUCACCAGUUCUCAUCUGGCGGUGACUACUUCACGCCUCAGUCCUCACGAAGGCACAACCAUGGUUUCGCAUCACCAAACUCGAAUUAUUCACCCAGCGCAAAGAAGCACGGGUUCUCAUCGUCAAGAUUCGCCACCAGCAACACCCAUCUCCGGUUCGAGAGAAGUUAGCUGGACGGAUGAGUCCAAUUUUGUUGUUCUUUAGCUUAAUUGAUUAUUAUUGUCUCCCCUGGGGAUGAACUCUGCCUGUUGGUUCAUUCCCUGUUAGAUAUGUGUCGAAUAUGUGUACAGUUUGGUUACGAUUGGACUUGAGUUGUAAUUUGGUAGGUUAGGGAUAGAGUCUCGGUCGUACUUAGUAUCCCUAUAGUCCAUAAAUAUGUGGGCACUACCGUUGUAACCAUGAGACGACUUGGCGGCUGGUGUGGGUGGCGGCGAGACCGCGGUGGUGCCCGGAUGCCGGUGUAGCUGCUGUUUAUGGGGAGGAGCGCCCGUAGUCAUGCCCCGAGGAUGUAGGCACAUGUCCGAACCUCGUUAAAAAAUAUCGUGCCUCGGUGUCGUUCUCGUUUGUGUGAUCUUGCGGUUUGGCUUCGCGUUCUUGGGUUAUCGCUUCCGCGUUCCUAUUCUAACAAGUGGUACCAGAGCCAGAUCCAUAGAGAAGAUCCACGUGGAGGCAUGAUGGGUGUGUUCCACACCGCGCAAGGUCGCACAAGCUGUUCGUGGAGGGACAGGGUGCAAGGUGGAGCACGGCGGCGAUCGACGACUCGAUCGGUGGUGUUGGACACUUCGGGCGGGUGGCUCGGACCGUCCAAUGAGCUGCAAUCAACGGGGAUGCGUCCAGACGUGGAGAUCAUGUUGAUAGCGGCUGGUGGCCGCUGUUCGAUAGGGGCCGGUCAGACGUGACGGCCAGGUUCGAUAGUGCGGCUGGAAGACGUCGUGGAUGAAGACGGCGGCUUUGACUUGCGAUCAGAAUGACGGGUGGUCGAUUGUGAUCGAGGUGGUCAUUGUGAGCUCAAGGUUACGUGGGCGUGGUGUUUGCGGCGGCCAGGAGAUACACGGCGUGUUGCAUGGGGAGUACUAGGCCGCAUGGCCAUGCAUGUGUGCGGUCAUCAGGCUGGCAUGUGGAUGCAUCAUGGCUGGGCUGGACUCGUGAACGUGUUGUUCACGUUUGGAGCAUAUCCAUGCAGGAGGCAUGCAAAAGUGUAUUUGUUUAUUGUUUCUUGGCCAGAAGCAGCGCAUAACAAAGAUAGGAGGCAGCCGUGGUGAUUAGGCCAAGGACUUUUCGGUUCGGUGCUAAUUAGCCUCCUGGGAGUUUGUUUCAUGCAGCAACUGGUCACAUGCGGGCUACUGGAGCAUAAUCCGAUCAGGACAUUGUGCAUGUGGACGUGUCCUACGGGGAAAGGGAGGCCAGCGUAACGAGAAAGUAAAAGUGCUGAGGAGGAGUCCGGUUCCGUUUGGACUCAUGCAGCUAUCCAACCUCCAUAAAACAAGUAGAGAGAUCCACAGGAGAUCGCGGAGAUCGCAUCAGAGGCGAUCUAUUAUUGCUGUUCGGAACCGGUGCUUGCGCGGUUGACGGCGAACGGCGGGCGGCGCUCGGGCGGGUUGACAACGUCGUGUGCGACGGCGUGGAGGUCGACGAGGCUUGCGAGCGGCGCGGCUGUGCACAAUCGGUGUGCAGUGACGGCGGCAGCACAAGGACAGCACAACACACGCAGUAGGCAGAUGACGUCGAUAGCUUCCAAGUUCGAGGUGGCGAGGUUCGAUGGCACCGGUAACUUCGGGUUGUGGCAGACAAGAGUGAAGGACCUGUUGGCUCAACAGGGCAUCUUGAGGCCACUUGACGAGAAGAAACCGGCAAAGGUAGAUGAUGAUAAGUGGGAGGAGAUGCAGGCGCAAGCACGUGCAACAAUAAGGUUGUGUCUCUCUGAUCAGAUCAUGUACCAUGUCAUGGAUGAAAACUCGCCUAAGAAGAUUUGGGACAUGUUGGCUGAGAAGUUUAUGUCCAAGACUUUGACACGGAAGCUGUAUCUGAAACAGAAACUGUAUGGGCUGAAGAUGCAGGAGGGGUCGGAUCUUGCUGAGCACAUUAAUGUCUUCAAUCAAUUAAUUGCUGAUCUUGUGAAGGUCGAUGUGAAGAUUGAUGAUGAAGACAGGGCGAUUAUUCUUCUAUGUUCGUUGACGGGAUCUUAUGAUCACUUGGUUACUACACUGACGUACGGCAAGGAGAAGGUGACGGUGGAUGAAAUUGUUGCUGCUUUGCUUUCUCAUGAGCAGAGGAGAAAAAACAAUUCAACUAAAGAGUCUUCUGGGAGUGCUUUAGUCGUCAGGCGUGAUAAUGGUGAUGAAGACAAGAAGGACAACAGGAAGAAGAAGGGACCGCAGUGCUAUAAGUGCAAGGAGUGGGGACAUAAGAAAGCAGAGUGUCCGAAACUGAAGAAGGGUAGUGGAAUCGCAAAUGUGAUGAUUGCCAGGAAGCAGGAUGAUUCAGAUAGCGAUGGUGAUGUUCUCACAGUGUCAAGUGAAAAGUCUUGCGAAGCGUGGUUAUUGGAUUCAGCUAGCUCGUUUCAUGCAACACCAAAGAAGGAGUGGUUCUUGUCAUACAUUGAGGAGGAUGGUGGUCUUGCUCACUUGGGAGAUGAUUCGGCUUAUCGUAUCAUUGGAGUGGGUGAUAUCAAGUUCAAGAUGUGUGAUGGUCAGGAGAAACUACUCAGGGGUGUGAAGCAUGUACCGGGGCUACAGAGGAAUCUGAUUUCGCUUGGGAUCUUGCAUAAAGAAGGAUGGUUGUAUCAGGCAGCGCCUGAUAAGAAGACCUUGAGAGUCAUGCAUGGAGGCAAGACAGUCAUGAUUGGUGAGAAGUCAAGUGCACACCAAUACAAGCUGAAGGGAAGCGUUGUUGAAGGUGGAGUCAUGCAUGGCAAUGCAACUGUGGCGGUGUUCUAUCCGGAUGUUGUCGAGGUGGCAGCAGCCUCUCGUCAGGGCUGUUCUAAGUGAGCAACAAAGGAGACGACUCAAGUCUGGUACGUGGAGGUUCGCACAUGGACAGCUCAAGGUGGCGUGCAUAUUCGCCAAGGUGGAGUUUGUUAGAUAUGUGUCGAAUAUGUGUACAGUUUGGUUACGAUUGGACUUGAGUUGUAAUUUGGUAGGUUAGGGAUAGAGUCUCGGUCGUACUUAGUAUCCCUAUAGUCCAUAAAUAUGUGGGCACUACCGUUGUAACCAUGAGACGACUUGGCGGCUGGUGUGGGCGGCGGCGAGGCCGCGGUGGUGCCCGGAUGCCGGUGUAGCUGCUGUUUAUGGGGAGGAGCGCCCGUAGUCAUGCCCCGAGGAUGUAGGCACAUGUCCGAACCUCGUUAAAAAACAUCGUGCCUCGGUGUCGUUCUCGUUUGUGUGAUCUUGCGGUUUGGCUUCGCGUUCUUGGGUUAUCGCUUCCGCGUUCCUAUUCUAACAUUCCCUUCGAUAGCUGUUUGUCUUUUAAGAUUAUAUAUGUAUCAGGGUUCCAUUUUGUUGACUCUAAGCAAGCUCACUUGGCGUUGUGCUCCAGUUCAUGCCUACUGCAAAGCAGCAAGAAAACAAACCUCUGAACAUCAGACAGUUGCACACACAUUAUCCAUAACCAUCACAACACAAUUCACGACACAUCUAGCAUUCGAUGGUGGUCAGCAGGCGAGGAGCUACUGUUCUGCCCGGUAGCGAGGAGCCAAAACGCGUAUUGAUGCUUAAGAUGAACCGGGGAAGAGGGGGAGCCGGUGGAUCUAGAAAAUAUGGCUUACCCGACUCCAACUCUAGCACGCGCUAUAAUGCGUGGAGCCGGAGUCAGCAGGAGCUGUGCCAAACACUUAUUGAUCUCAUAGGGAUAACAUAUGUAUAUAAUGUUGGUUAGGUAAGAGUGACUAUAUAAACAAAUCGUCUCAUAGUAUCAUCUAGGCAUGCUAAUGGGUUGAAACCCGUCCCAACCCGCAAUAAAUUAACUCAUUCACCCACUCCGCCCCGCUCCAUAAUUCUAUUGUCUAAACCCAACCUAAGCCGCUACACCAAUUGAUAUAACCCAUGGGUUUGGUAUAUCAACCUACGAGCACUACUAGAUAACUAACUUUAGAUACCACCCCCUUUAGUCUCGGUUUAAUUUCGGCCUGAGAGAAAAGGGGGUGCGCCACGGUAGGCUGGAAUGGGGCGCACCUUUACUCUCGGUUCCUUUUUUGCAACCGGGACUACAUGCCACCCUUUAGUCUCGGUUAAAACAGCUAGUUUCCAGGCAGCGACGGUGCCACCCUUAACCCCCGGUUGGAGCCAUCAACCGGGACAAAAGCUUAAACCUUUUGUCCCGGUUAGAGUUACCAACCGGGAUAAACAUUUAUUACCAACCGGGACAAAAGCUCUAAUCUUUUGUCCCGGUUGGAUUUACCAACUGGGAUAAAAUCUUAUCUACAAGUACCCUUUCUUCCUCCUCCACUCCUCCAGCCCGAGCCACUCCACUCCACAAAGACAGAGAAGUGAAUCCUCUCCAUGGCGCCGAAGCAAGCCUAGGGGAGGUGCUGCUGAAAUAUUUUUAACUCAUUUCCAUGGGAAUUUCACCCAUCCAAAGUGUUGUGAAGGUUAGCUACUUCAUCCUCUAUUCACUUAUUGUUGUUAAGCUUUGUUUUAUACUUUAGAGAGGGAGAAAAAUUAGUUUGUUUGUUGUUAAGCAUGUAGAGGAUUUGUAUUUAUACAUGUUUUUGAGCUACAAUGUGAUGGAUAGUUUGAAUGUGAGCGAGAAUGGACAGUAAAUGUGAGGUAGAAUUGAGAUUAUUUCAAUUUUAUGUAUUAGGGACAAAUUUGAGUAAUUGUGUUUUUAAUACUUAUAAAUUAGCCAUAUAAAUUGUAGGUGUAAUUUGAUACUUUGAUACUUUAGUACUUUUCAGAUAGAGGUAUGCAAAAUAUUUGUAAAUUAAAUAUGAGCUAAAUAUUUUGUGGUACAUAGAGAUGGCUUCUGAUGCUGGAUGUAGUGGUGAUGGUGGGGGAGAUCGUCGUUCCUCCCGUGGCAAGGGGAAAACCAUAGUGUAGAAUUUAUGACUAGUUAAAACUUAUUGUAAACAAACUUGCUAAUUUAAUAUAUUUUUGCAUGUUUGAAAUAUGUAAAUUUCUUAUUUAUUUUUCGCUUCCUGAAAUUCAAUGAAAACAUAAAUCGAAUAAAUUUCCAAAUAGAAGAAAAAAAUAGUAUAAAAUUUAUGGCUAGUUAAAACUUAUUGUAAACAAACUUGCUAAUUUAAUAUAUUUUUGCAUGUCUGAAAUAUGUAAAUAUCUUAUUUUUCGCUUCGUGAAAUCCAGUGAAAACAUAAAUCGAAUAAAUUUCCAAAUAGAAGCAAAAAGAAAUAGUAUAGAAUUUAUGGCUAGUUAAAACUUAUUGUAAACAAACUUGCUAAUUUAAUAUAUUUUUGCAUGUCUGAAAUAUGAAAAUAUCUUAUGUUUUGCAUACUGAAAUCAAGUGAAAACAUAAAUCGAAUAGAUUUCCAAAAACCAGAUGAAAAACAGCAGAAGGCCCCCAUUUAUCCCGGUUAUAAAAUAGAACUGGGAUAAAAGGGACUUUUUGAUUCCCGCCUGGAAGUAUCCAUUUAUCCCGGUUGAUUAUAAACCAAGAUAAAGGAGGGGGGCUUUUAUCACGGUUCAUCAUAAACUGAGAUAAAAGAUCCCCUUUAUCUCGGUUUGUAUUAGGAACCCGGAUUAAAUGUCCUUUAAUACCGGUUGCAGUUACAAACCGGGAUAAAAAGGGGGUCUUGUAUAAAAGUUACAACGUCUUCUACACUCGCUCCGCCCAACACUUAGCGAAAUUUUCACUCGUCAUCCUCGUCCUACCCGUCGCCUGCCUCCGCCGUCGCCGCUCUCCUCCCUCUCUCCUUCUUUCUUAUCCUCUCUUCUUCGUUCCACGCAGGCGCAUAGGUGCGGAGGCGGGUGGCCAGGCGUCCGGAGGUGGCGGGCGUUGUGGGGCGGCGGUGGGUCAGGCCGGAGCGGAGGUGGGCGUGGGCGGGGCCAAGGCGGCGUGUGGAGCGGGGCGAGGAGGGCGGGGAGCCGCCGGCGGGAGGAGGCCAGGGAGGCGUGGGGCGGUGCAGGGUGGCCAGCGGGCGUGGGCCCGGUGGAAUUGGGGUGAGGUGAAGGUGACUAGGAUAUGGCACGGAGCACAAUGGUCAUCAUGACGUGGAGAACUCUUGGGACAGAGAACGAUCUUGAUUGCCGUUAUUGGUCAUCAGGACCGAAACCAGUUCAGUGGUGUACAUACCGACGAAAUUUCAGAAAAGACUAUAUAACUAGAACACUCAUUUCUGAGUCAUUGCAAACACUCUAGUAAGAACUACUGCAAGAAGUUUGUUGGAACGGACAGCUUGGACAAUGAGCUUGAAACACUAGCUCCUCCUAUAGACAGGAGAGGACAACAGGUGGGACACCGAAGAAUCUAUUGCAGGGUUAGUUCCACGAACGACCCACCAUGGUUCAUCGGAUCAGAUCAUCAGGCGAGGCCGUGCUGGUCCAGGAGCAGGCGCCACCAGUCUGUAAGAAAGCCAAUCGAACGUAUAGGACCAUCAGAAAACCCACCAGGCAAUUUAGGCACAAGAAGAAGAAGAAAAAGAAGAAGAAGAAGAAGUGGAGAUUAUUGGUACCACGGUCGCCCUGCUCGUGCAGAUACAGGAAGUGCAGGCCUGCCUCCCGAAGUGUCUUUGACCUGACGACACAACCCUUGCGUUUGCACAGAUAACCGCCUUGGUGUUGGUCCUUGCAGUGGUCCUCGAGCUGUGAACCAACGCAAGCACCAAGCAAGCCACCAAUAAUGUCAGAAACAAGAAUGCUUGCUGCUUUGUUAUUAGUUGAAGAACUAGCAAGAGAGGGAUUCCUACGUACUUUUUCUCUCUUCAAGGACCUCAACGACCCCUCGUGGAGGAAGCAGAUUUCACAAAUUUCUUUGUCCUUCUUGCCGAGCAGCUCCUUUGCUCGGCUCUGGCAAAGCUUCGCGUAACAAAGGGCGACGUCGUCGUCGUGGUCCUGGCGCUCCCGGAAGAGCUCGGCGAGGCCGUAUCCGGGAUCGCACUGCAACCAUUCGUCACAUCGUCAUUCAACAGAAAGCAGUCAAGAUUCGAGAGGACACGCAACUACGCAACGCAAGAAACAGAGGCCGCCGAAACCAAGAAAUAAAGUGGCGGCGGCGAGACGAGGAGGGGAGAAGCCGAGAAGGAAACACGCCGGCGAAGAAACCCAAGAAAGUACCGGAGACGGAGAGCGACGCGGACCCCUUCCCUUCGCCUCCUUCGCCUUCCCCUGCUUCCUGGGCGCGGCGGCGGGGUUGUUGGGCGCCACGUUCGCGGGCUGCGCUCCCUGCGCCCCGUGUUCGGCGUGCGCCGCGUCGGGGCCGGGCUCCCCAGCGCUGCCGGUGGCGUUGCCGUCGUCGUUGGGGACCUCCUCGCCGCCCGCCGCAGGGCCGUGCGCCGCGUCGGCGAUCCACUCCUGGAUCCUCGCCAAGGGGCCCUGAAGCGGAGGCGGAGGCGGACACCCCUGCCGAGGCGGCGCACCGCGGCGCUGCUUGCGGCGGCCACGCGCCAUGGUGCCUUGGCGAGCGCGAGGGCGCGGGCGAGGAGAGCAGAGAUUUCCGGCGUGGGCUUCCUCGGGAAGAUUGGUGGUUAGGAAGGAAGGCAAGCACGUGGGAGGAAGAGGGUUCUAGCAUCGGGGGAGGCGCGCGGGUGGGGGAACUAUAUAUUUGAAGGGCUGCCAACCGACUUGACGACGCCGGCGUGGCAUCCUACAGAAGCAUUGUACAGAAGCAUGUCACAAGUCGGCCCACUAAGGUUGAUAAUCAUGUUCCUCCUGGCCGUUGCCCGCUAAGCUGCGGCUUCCCUUGCCACCGCCUACUGUGCCGGCGGCGCAACGACGACUCAGUGCACCGUCUUGUGCACUCCGCUGAUGCCGUCGUGCCCUGCCCUUCCCGAAGAAUCUCUCCAGCCAUCACGCUGCCCGUGCCGACACCACCCACCACCGGUCGCAGCCCACCCGUCUGAGUUGGGAUUAGGGAUGGAAAUGUGGAAAUGGAUAUCCGAAUUAUCUGGAUCCGUAUCCACUAAAACGACAAAUAUGGAUAUCCGUAUUCGUAUAUGAAUUUAACGUGGUACUAAAAUGGAUACAUCCGAAUUCGUUUUUCUUAAUUUUCUCUAUCCGAUUCCACAUUCGUAUUCGAAAAUACCCGACAAUAUACGUAUCCGACCAUAUGAAACUAUUAGUUAUCUCUAUAACUAAUGGUAAAUGAUGCUACUUUAAAUAUUAAUAAUGACAAUAUAUCAUUAAAACUAUUCAAAAUUUAUCUUUAUAACUAAUAGUUAAUUAUAUUAAUUUUAUUAUCACUAAUAUUGUACCCAUAAAACUAUUUAAAAUUUAUCUCUAAUUUUUGUGACCAAUGUCAUUAAAUUUAAUAAUAAAUAUAUGUGAAUAUUAAUUUUAUUUUUAAAUACUCUAAUUUAUUUAUCAAUAAAAACAUUUUUAUACAAUUUUUAUUAUUCAUUGAUAAAUUUUUAUAUUUAUUGAAAUAUAUAUUUAUCCAUAUAUUAUUUUUUCAUAGAUUGCACUAUUUCAAAUAUUAUUAAUUAAUGCAAUAUUUUCAUAAGCGAUUUUUGUUUGCACUAGUUAGUUAGGUACUCAUACUUUAGUGUCUACUUGUAUAAAAGUUUUGUUAUUAAAAACCAUCAACAACUAAAAUUGGUAAAUGUUAUCCUCAAACUGAGUAAAUAUCCGAUGGGUAUCCGAAUUCGAGACAUUCGUCUGAAAAUGUGGUAAAAAGUGCUAUUCGGAUCCGAUUCCAUGCGAAUCCGAUCCGGAGUCCAUCCCUAGUUGGGUUACCGUCUCGAGUUUGACACCAAUGACUUUUCGGAUGCAACGUAGAGUAACUUCUCUAGAAAAAUAACUGGUGCAUGUAUAUGGUAACAUAUUAAUAAGUUCUCACGGAAAAUUGGAUGAUGUGAUUAAUUGGAUGAUAAGCAAGGUCCUUCUCCUUGGUAAUUGUGCGUUUAUGAGAUAUGUCUAUCAAAAGAGAACGGAGGGAGUAGUUCAAAGAUCAUUUCCAAAAGACAUGUAGUUCAAAUGCGAAGGAAUUCCAAAACAUAGACACAAAUAUAUUUAAGUUCUAAAAAAGUGUAUAUUAUUGCUUACAUUGUAAAUAAUUUUAUUUCAUGAAUAAACAUACUAAAUAUUGAUUAUAUUAAAUAUUUAUGCAAGAAUGACAAAGUUAUCUAUUUGUCACGUUAGACCAUUCUUGGGAGGAUGGAAUUGACAAUGAAUAUUGUGCUUUGGUAAGAACUCAAAUUUAGGGAGACUAUUACCUCAGUUUUUAAUGUUUUUCGGGGAUGUUAUUACGAUGUAUUUCAAUUCCCAACUAAUUUUUGACUCUGAGGAAUAUCUGACUUUUCUCUGCAAUUUUUCAUAUGGCUUAGAUGUGCAAAUCUUACAUAUAUGUUCUUUCAUAAUUUACAUAUCAUUUUUACAACACAUGUAGUUGAUAUGCAAAGUAAUUCCAGGAAAUAGGCAGAAACACAUACUUCUCAUCUAAACUCCGAAUCGGGUGUUCUAUAUAUGCAUUUUGAUUGUGUCGAUGAGAGAUACGUUAUGGUGAAGUCCAAUUUGCAAUUUGAGCAGUUUAUCUAAACCAGUCUGAUCGGUUUAGAGACCGGUUCGCUCAAAUAAAUUUUGGUCGUCAACAGGUAGCAAAAAUAUCAAUUCCUUAUGGAACGUAAUAUUGGCAUUCCAUUCAUACGCUGUUCAUUGGUGACUUUAAAUGGCAGCCUUUAUCUUUAGUCCUUUUUCUGCACAUUAUGUACCUGAUGCAAUUAGUGUACAGUUGUAACAUGCACUUGACUCCUGAGCACAUAAUUGGCAUUAGAGCCUGCCAUAUAUCAUGUCCGUUGUUUUACUAGAAAGAAAACCUAGAAAGAAACUUUUGGUUUAAGUCAUAUUUACGCAACAUACUGCAAUAGUUGGAUUGUAGUGUUAGAUGACUUUAUUUGUGAAAUAAAACUGCAGUAUGUGCUUAAAGCUGUUCAAAGUGGCUAUAUUCAUUCUCCCAGGUUGAAUCCUGCCCUUUUAUUUUGGUAGUGACUUGUUUGCUUGGGCUUCUAUUUAUUUGUGCGAAAAUGAUUGUCAUCUGUGAUAGCUUGAAAGGGGAGACAGCCUUUAUCUUUAGGACUCUUUCUGCCUGUUAUGUAGCCUAACCUGAUGCAUGCAAUGUGUAGGACCAACACGCAUUUUUCUCAAGAGCAUAUUUUUGGCAUUAGACCCUAGUUUCAAGUAAUUAAGAAUCUAAAUCAAAUAAUCAACAUGGUGAUUAAGAAGCAAAUCAAAGCUAACUCCAAAUUUCUAAGAGUAAGGUCCAAAAAUACGUCAUAUUUUGAACCAAGUGUUAAAACUCCCUCCUGUUGAGAAUCACUUGUGAAGCAAAUAAAAAUAAAUUUAUAUAAUAACUUAAAUCUUGACCAAUAUACUAGUGUUAGAACUUUUCAAGUUGAACAUCUUCCACUCACAGAACUUCUUCUGAUUUUGAGCAGAGGAUGUUCCAAAAUCGGGUAGACGAUCGGUCCAGUUUUAAAUCCAAUUCCAAAAUAGCUUUGACCGAUGUUCCACCAAUGGUCCUACCAUCCUAUCUCCAACUUCAUCGAGCUUUUCCUUGUUGAUCUUUAUAAAAGUCAUAGCACAUACCCUGUUCCCGAACCUUCACUUUUGGAAAUCAAACCGCGUAGUUCAAACUUGGUGUGAAAACACAUGUUAUACACGACACUUUCGUCACGACACACAUCUUGAGCACCAUCAUGCAUAAUUACGCAUCAUGAACAUCUUUUUGUGCAUAGUUGACCAUCAUGAGCAUCAUUUGUGCAUAAAUGAAUGUUGCGGCCAUGCAUUGUUAAGUGUCCAGAAUUUAUUUAUUUAUUGGUGAAAAAUCAAAUUUGUGAAGGAACUCCAAUUUCUUCCAUACCACUGUACCCUCAAAUAUUUUAUUCAAAUACUAGACACCAUUUAGUGAUUUUACAAUAUUUUUACCAAAUGUUUCAAAGAUGUUUUCUUGGGUUAAAAAUUCAUUUAAAGUUCAAUUUUAGCUGUAUUGUUUUGACGAUUGUGUGCAAACCAUAAAAGCUUUUGAGUUGAUUCUUAUUUCAUUGGGUUCUUGGUGAUUUUAUCUUUCCAACAAGUAUUUUUGUGUAAUUUUUGAACACCUGUCAAAUAAGGGAGCAAAGUUGGCACGUUUUAUUUCUCCGUGGGCCCACGCGUAAGCACUUCUUCUCCUUCCUCACAGCACCAGACGCAAGCCGUUGGCCUGCAGGGGCCGAGCUCCACCUGGCCGGUGCCCAUGGGGGCUUCCCUCCCCGCCAAUCCUUGCGCCCCAUGGUGAGUCACUCCGUCCAUCCUUAUCCUCACCAUCCUCCUCCUAUAUAAAGCCCCCAACUCUCCCUCCCCCAAUCUCCGUUAACAGAACACGGAGCUCCACUUUUCCCCAAACUUUGCCGAUGAAAUCCACCUCGGUUGGUGCAUCUCCAGCCGAUUCCUUGCAGCCACGGCACCUUCUCGACAUCACGAUUCCGUUUUGCUACUUCUCGGGCUCCCUCCCUCACCGGACGACGCCCUCCACGGGUGCUCCUCCGCCGCCCCCUUCCUGCGCCGUUCCUCCCUGUGCGCUGCCCUCCUCCAAGCGCCUGACUCCCUGCUGGUGUGCUCCCUGGCCCAAGGUGCCACCCCUCUCCCUUCCGAAGCCGCCCCCUCUCUUUCCCCCACCUUCAACCCAAGGCCAUGGCCGGUCUGGUCAUUUUCUAUUCGAUGCGUGCCUGUUUAUGUGCGUGGGGAUCUGAUUUGACAAGAAGAAGGAAGUGUAGGGGGUUAUGGGGAAGUUUUAGGAACUUUUGCGUAAUUAACCCGUAGAUCUGGGGGCUAGAUUGAAAGUUUGUCUCGGUUUUCUUUUUUUUCCCUAGAUCUAAAAAGGCUGGAACUUUGAAAAUUCAUAGUAAAUUGUAGAAAAAUCGUAAAAUAGCAAAUGAAGAUGUUUUGGAAUCCUUGUGAGAAGAGUUAUGCAGUAGAGUCAUAAUAUGAUUUGUGUUAGUAGAAAAUUUCUGAUGUGAGAAGGGGUACGUAUGAUGCUAAGUUAUGAUAAGUAGUGGUUAAACUUUGAAUAUAACUCAUAUGUAUGCUCUGAUGUUAAUAUAACAGCUACUUAUAUAAGUUCUUCACCUUUGCUUUGAUUCUUGCUUAAGGUGUUUAGAGUGUUCCAUGUUACCUAAGCUUAAUGCUAAUUAACUAUGUCCAUAGUAGUUGUGAGCUAUGUGUUUAACUUAUGCAUAUGUUACCUUGUUAAAGAACUAAAUGAAUAACCUUGUUGCAUAUGUGCUGAAAUGGCUACUAGAAUAGUUUCUGUUGUGGUAGUAUUUUCAAGAUUAUAGUGAUGUUUUAUGUAAAUAUGGUGAAUACAAAAGAUGUAGGUAACUUCAUAAUAUAGCUCGUGUUAAAUUUACAUCACCAUAAUCCUCAUGGUUUAGGAGCUAUAGAUUUUAAAAGUUCAUUGUCAGAUUUUGGGUGCUCUAUGUAUAGGUAUGAAUGAUUGUGUUGUUUGAUUUAGCUAAGAUUUUAAUCAUAUCUUAAAGAUAGUAGAUGAAGUGUAGGGUUUUUCAUGAGCUUUCCAAACUGUUAAACAUCACCCCUUUUGGUGGUCUAAAUCUCUAGUUAUGAGCUUGUGAAGUGGAAUAACAGAAUAUGUCCUAAUCUGGACAGAGAUGUCUUCUUUGUGAUGUUUGACGUAGUUAACUUUGGUUUUAGCUUGUGUUGUUUAUAAAAAAUCUGUGCAUGGUUUGUUAAGAUUUCUAAAGAGUCUAGAACGACCUUGUUGUGAAAGCUAGAACUCAACUUAUGGAUGUCUAAAGUUUAAUAUCAGCAUCUGUUCAAGUUUGGACAGAUUUGCUUCUUUGUGUUUUGUAGUCUUGUUAACUGUUGAAUCAUCUUGAGACAACAAUAAUAAAGUUAUAGAUAAAUUAAUAAAGUUUCUACCAAGUUAAGAAUCAUGGUUGUUGGAGGUCUAGAAUUCCAGAUAUGCAUCUGUGAAGUUUGUGUCAGUUUUCUAUCCUUGUUUGUACAUAUCUGCUCUUUGGUGUGUUUUCACCUUAUUAUUUGUUGAAUCAGCUUUUGGUGUGUGUAACAAAGUUUUAGAUAAUUUCCUUUACUUUACAGAAAGUCUAGGAUCACCCUUUUUGGAUUCUUAUAUCUCUAGUUAUGGUUAAAACAAGUGACUAGUGUGCUUCUGUCCAGAUUUGGUGUACGUGCUUAGUGUUAUUAGCUUUAACUUGAUGUUGCCUUGUGUGCUGGCUAGUUAGCUCAUAUCAUUAUUAGAGUUAAAUUGAUCUACCUAAGAAUAUUAUAAAUAUGUUAUAUAAUGUUGGUCAAGCACUUAGCUACUAAAUGGUCAUGUAUGCAUGUGGCUACAAAAUAACCUUGUUGCAUAGCUUGCUAGAACCUUAGUGAUGUUGGUGUGUGACUUGCUUAUGUAUGAAUUGUUUAAAAUUAAAUGUAAUAUAAUUUAUACUUGGAGGAACUUUGGGUUACUUAUAAUACAUAUAUUAAGAAGCACAUGUAUGUCAUACAAUAUGCGUUUUCCCAGUGUGAGAUGAGAGGACCACAUAGUUAGUUUUUUUACAAAAUCUGCAUGGAACGGGCACGCAGAAUUGACCAAAGCACAUGCAGGUUUAAGUCUGGAUGAUGGGCACUUCCAGGGUUGGAUCCAGUAGGGGCUUGGAUCGAGGAAAGUGACAAGAGCACUCAAGCUCUAAUAACCAAUUGGUGGGACGGAAACAUGGAAGCCUGGUGGCAUGUGGUGUAAUGAACCGGCCUUGGAAAUGAAUUAGCAGGGGUGGAUCCUGUUGUUGCCUUGUUGCCUUUUUUAAAUAUUACUUUCGAUUUGCAGGGGGCAUUAAUUUUUAUUUAUUUAUUUAUUUUCUUAUUAUUUGCUGAUAGCUCUACAAGCAGAUUGUUGGGCAUCGAGGCAUGACAACCAGUAAUAUAUGAAUGAGGCUAAUUAGUUAUUACAAAUAGUUAAUUAAAAUUAAGGAUACAUUAGUUAUUGUGAAUAAAAAAUUAUAUCUCUUGUUUACUAGUGCUCCGUUAUCACUGCCAACCCAAGCAGCUGAUUCUAAAAACUGACACAGAAGAAACCAUGUCAAAAUCAUGGAAAAUGGAUCAUUGACUGUCUCGGACCAAUACCUAGCACCCGGCAAUGGAGAGGAAUGGAUCGGAGUCCUUGGCAUAGCUUCCUGCCACUGAGUACAAGACCACAGGGUGAUAAGGCUGUGAUAAAUGAAUGGUAUACAUGCAUAGAAUUGUUCACUUUGAAUGGGAUGAGCCAGCACAGGAAGAUGGUACAAGCUAAGCAAGUACCAUUUUUGUUUAUCUGCAGUGUGAUACAUGCUUCUAUUUGCUUGCUUGUAUGGAAUGGUAUGGGCUCAUGCAAGAUCAUGUUUGUUUGGAUAGGGAUGGAUUGGCCUGGUAUUAACCUAACUUGGUGAGCUUUAUCUCAUGUAUUGCUUUGCGUAUCUUUUUAUAAUAAGCCUAUUUUUCCAUAUAAUUUGUGAACAUUAUAAAAUCUGAAUGUGCAAGACAUAAUCUAGUAUUUCAAAUUUAUUGAUACAUGGAAAAAAAAUCAAAUUCCUUAUGCUGAAUGAAACGAAGACAAAUACCAGAUAGGAGAUCUCAAGUACUGAUAUGUCUAUAAAAUACUAAAAUACCAUAUUAUUAUCACCUCACUGUUCUUGGCUGUCCCCAAGUCUACAGUACGUCACCAAACAUAUGUUUAGCUGGCAUAUAAGUGGUGUUUUGCUUACAAUGACUUUCAUGGAAAAAGAUCUAGUGAUGGACCAAGCAGAACUCCAUGUUUGGAAUUAAAGAACCCAAUUCAAUAAAAGUGAAGGACCAAGCUGAAUUCAUCAAUGAUUGGAAUAACUUAAUUCAACAAAAGUAAAAUGACAACUGUAGCAUAGGGAAAGAGGCAUAAAAAAUAUCAUUGUGAAACAUCUUGUGAUAUCUAAUUGUGAUAUCUCCUUAGAUUCGGAACUAGCCACACAGGGGUUGGAGAGUUGGACCAAAGCUGAGGGGAUACAAUUUCCUUGUUCCUAUUGUUUUUCAGGUCAAAUUCUCCAAUAUCACGCCUAUCGUUCUUGUAACACGUGACAUCAAGAAAGUCAUCAUCAGUAAAGUAGGCAUGAUUUGGCUUCAGCUGUGGAUAUUCUUUGGCACAAAGGCAAAGUGAUUGGUUACGCCCAAUAAACAGCACGUUCUCACCCAAGGUAUCUACUUCCACUACAAGCUUUUCCGAUGUAAGGUCCACUUUAUGUGCUUUGAUCCUGUUGGUCUUGUUGGGCAGCGUAGACGGAUCUAAAUCAUACUCUUCUUCUAGUACACCGUUAGAUCUCGUAAUUUGCAGCAGUUCACCAGAUGGAGCUUGAACAAUGUAAACCCUGUCUGAUGCAGACCACUUCACCCGUUCCAGAACUAUCUUCAUUGUAACUGCUGGGGCGCUAAGAUCGAACACAUGGAUUUCUCCUACAUCAGUGGUGGCAUAUAGCAGUCCACCCUGAAAUUGGCAGUCUUCAUAGCAAGUGUGUGGUGGCAACCACGUCCACUCAUUGUCUCCUGCCCUUGCAAACGAAAGCUGACAUCGGGGGUUGUGGAUGAGCACCACGAAGUAGUCCCCGGUGGAUGGAUCUGAAGAUAGAAAGGCCUUGUAGAACAGCAUAUCACGGAGCUUACUGAGAUCAAGGAUUGAUGGCUUAUCAUGGAUCCAGUGGUCUCCAGUGUACCACAAGUACUCAUAGUUACAAAGGGUGCCAGCAUCAUCAAAUAUCGGAUCCACCUGCUCGAUGGUUGUGACCGAUGGCAGUGCGAUCUGAUCACCAGUGAUGGGGUUGACAAGCUGCAGCUCAGAUCUCUCGUCUGCGGUGAUUAUCCAGCCAUAGGACGAACCAAUGACCUCCCUAGUUCGGAUAGGUGGGUCCGGGAGAGUCAAUGUGUAUGCCUUCUUCUCUGCGAGGCUCAGAUCUCAAAUACUACUGCCACACGUUCAUGGUCGUGUUUCCUGAACAAGAUGUUCGAAAUUUCUUUUCAUUUCAUGGGUCAGGUCUCAAAUUGGUCCAAAUAACAUGAAUAUCAUUUUUCUACUCAUUUUAUUCCGUAAUUUGAAUCACUUGCAGUUCAAAUUUGACUUAUACCAAAAAUUCCCUUGAAAUGCAAUUAAUUAAAUAAAUAUAGCAAAUAAAUUUAAAAAUAUACCAAAUUUUAACAUGGAGUACCACAUGUUGUAUGUAGGGAGUAGAAAAAAUUUCAUGGUGAAAAGAGGAAAAAAAAUUAUUUUUUUGCCGAGUGUCAAAAAAAACACUAGGCAAACCCCCCUGUUUGCCGAGUGUUUUUUUUUAACACUCGGCAAACAAGGGGCUUUGCCGAGUGUUUUCCAUUUGACACUCGGCAAAGCCCCUAUUUGCCGAGUGUUUUUUUUUUGCCGAGUGUUUUUGGAGUGGCACUCGGCAAAGAGCUUGUUUGCCGAGUGUCCGAAAAAAAACACUCGGCAAAAAGAAAACACUCGGCGAAUUUAAGGUUUCCGGUAGUGGUGUAUGCCUUCUUCUCUGCGAGGCUAUAUAGACCCAUAGCCUUCUCACCGAUGGAUUCGGAAGUGUACAGGAGGCACGGUGUCCGCUGCAGCUUGCAAUGUUCAGUAGCGCACAGGCUUGUGUAGGCGGCGCGCCACGAGGCACAGACUGAUCCUGCACGUACAAGGUCAGGGGUCUCAAGGAGGGCAAAGAUAUCCAUCAGGAUAUCCUGUGGCAGCCACGGCAGUUCACUGCCUGCAGUAGGUGCCACCACGGGUGAUGGAUGUACAAACUCAUCUAGCUGGAGUAAUGUCUUCAUCAGCGAACAGGUUGAGGAAGCAAAUAUGUUGGCAAGAGCCCGAAAGAGCAGAUUGCACAGACAGCUAAGGUUCAUCCUCUCGGCUCUGCUGGAUAUGUCCAUCGAAGCAAAUCAAAGCUGGAUCUCUCACCUUUGCAAGACCACGGAUGAUCGAGUUGCUCCCUGCAACGGGAGACAAAAGACGCUUGGAAUCUUUCGGAGGAGUACAAGGCACAAGCACAACGAGGGCAGGCUCCUGGUUCCGUUCUUAUACCCAGCAAACCCAGGAUCCGAAUUCGAAUAGGUUAACGGAAGAUCUGUGUUGUGGAUGUGGAGAUCAGACGUACCCCGUGCAAGAUUCGGAGGUUCCGGAACAUCCACACCGAUUCCGGCUCCGAUAAUCCGAUUCCGCAGACGGGUAACUGAUCGGAGGCAGCGUAGGGCGUAGGCAGACGGGAAACGGAACCCAACGAAGGGGAAGGCCUGCCGGUUGCUAGGCGGAAGUCACAGGCGGCUGCAAGGGCAUCGGUAAAAAAAAAAAGUCGUAUGUUUUAAUGGAAACUCAAUUGCUUAUUUUUUAUUUUAGCAGGGACCGAUAAAUGAAUCCCUUCACCUGGCCUUCUUGCCAUCUAAUAUAUCCCCAUGCUGAGAUUUUCAGUUUUGGGAUUUUGAUGGUGCUCCUUUCUACAAGGUUUAGAGGGGGCUUUUUAUCUAACUUCCGGAAGCCAUUUAAGCUUGUUCUAACUUUAAAGCCCAUCGGGUCCAUUUAGAAAUUUAAAUCAACAUUUCAACAAAGCAGAUUCAACAUUUUAACAAAACUAAAUCAACAUCUAAAACACUAGAUUCAACAUUUUCCAGAAUAAAAAUCAACAUUUUGUUAGAAAAUACUGCAUUCAACAUUUCUCACUGAUUCUUUCAACAUUUGAACAAACCAGGUUCAACACUUUUUCAAGGAUGAAUCAACAUUUCAUUUUUUCCCUCUUUUUCAACAACCAGGGUAGAGGAUAGCACGCUAGUGCUCCCACAGGCACCACAUGGGGCCGGUGAGCCUAGGGGCGGUGCCAUCGCGGCCUAUGGUACGAGGGGUCUACGUGCCCGUGGGGCGAUGGCAUAGGGCCGGCGAACCUAGGGCCGGCAUCGCUCGGGGUUGGUGGCGCGCGGGGUCAGCGCACUUGGGUCGGCACGCGUGGCGAGCCGGUGCGCCCACUAGGGGUGGCAACGCAGCGAGUCAGCGCGCCCAUGGAACCUGCAGUGCCAAGGGGGCCAGUUGAGAGUUGGGGUGGCACGUGCGCUGAAAUGGUGGCAGUGGAAAUAGGGGUGGCGGUGGGUAGAUGUAGGCUAGGGCUUGAAAGAGAAUGAGGUGCAUUUGAUGGAAGAUAUCAUGUGUACGAAUCUAUAAGAAAAAAACUACCGGAAGCUAUAUAGGUUUCCUAAGGUAUAGAUGGCCAGAUGGCCAGGCCCAUCCAGCGGCCGGAGGCACGCCUCUAAAAAGCAAGCCACUAAUUUAACACGACAUGUAGUUCAAAGAUCAUUUCAACAAGACAUGUAAUUCAAAUGAGAAGGAAUUCCAAAACAUAUACACAAAUAUAUUUAAAUUCUAAAAAAGUGUAUAUAAUUCCUACAUUGUAAAUAAUUUUGUUUCAUGAAUAAACAUACUAAAUGUUGAUUAUAUUAAAUAUUUAUGAAACAAUGAUAAAGUUAUCUAUUUGUCAGGUUAAACCUUUCUUGAGAGGAUAGAGUUGACAAUGAAUACUGUGCUUUGAAAAGAACUCAAAUUUAGGGAGACUAUUACCUUAGUUUCUAAUAUUUUUUUUGGGAUGUUAUUAGGAUGUAUUUCGAUUCCCAACUAAUAUUUGACUCUGAGGAACAUCUGACUUUUCUCUUCAAUUUUCCAUAAGGCUUAGAUGUGCAAAUCUUACAUAUAUGUUCUUUCAUAAUUUACGUAUCAUAUUUACAACGUAUGAUACAACACAUGUAGUUGAUAUGCAAAGUAAUUCUAGGAAAUAGGCAGAAACACAUACACUUCUCAAUAAGGUAUAUUGGGUGUAUGAGUUACAACUGAACUCAACUCAACCUGGUCGUACCCGUAUCUCAACAUCCUCCCCUCCCCCCACCUCGCCUCACCGCCACACUGCCUCGGGUUUGUCCUUCCCUAAUAUUCUAUGGCCAUCACACCUCAACCUCGGUCAUCAGCUAUUGCCUAGCGGCACCCCGCCACCUCUCCUCACCGCCAACAACCCACUUCUAUCUCCUUAAUCCCUAUCCUAUCCAAAUAAUCUCCGAUCAUCACACCCCUGCGCCCGACGCGGCUCACCACUAGUCAUUAGUCACUAGGCCGACGAGGCCCUACCACCUCUCCUUGCCACCCAAAAAUAGUGGUGGAACCAGGAAUUUUGGGGGGGAGGCUGGCAAAACAUGAUUGACACCUCAUGCUACAUUUGAUGAAAAAAAUAUAUCAAGAUAUGUUAUAGACGUGUCAUUAAAUUUUUAAUGCCCCAUUAGGGAGGACUUAUUUCAUCUUGGGCUUCACCUAUUUUGCGUAAAACCAGGCACUUGUAGCAUGAAGCUAUUUUGUAAGCUGGUGCUAAAAUGAACUACAAGACGGGUGAAGCUAUUAUUUUUUGCUUCACCAGCUUUGGCUUCACUAGUGAAGCCAUUUUGGGAGAACCCCUCCCAAAUGGCCCCUAAAAGGUUCACAAUUUUUAGAUUCAGGGUUUCAUGGAGGUAAGCAUUAUGGAGCACUGAAAUUUUUAUAUUGCAGUCUCUUUCUUAUUGUAAUAGCAUUCUGCAAUCUUCUUAAUUAUAAAAUAAUGUUAAAUGGCUUAAUUCCUUAUUUUUUUGAUUAACCUUCUUUCUUCUUAAAAUAUUAUAACAUAAGUUUAGUUUGCCACAUUACUCUGCAUUAAACACAAAAUAGACAUGGAGAUUUGAGAAAAAUACACAAUCUCACUUCUAGGACGUGUAUUUGGAGAACAGCGGGGAGGUGCUGCCGAAAUUCUAUCUCGGGUCGGAGUAGACCAUGGAUACUAAACCCACCUACACAUCCUCGGGUGGGAUUAGGACCUAUCUUCACCUUAUAGACAAUAUAGGAACGUGUAGAUGCAACGUGAUUUUUAUAUUACUUGCUGAUAUGCUAGAGGAUAGAGGAUAGUCAGUGGAUGUACACGGGCCACUCUAGUCAGAAUUCAUUGACCAAUGAAUGGAUUGACAAGAUGGAUGUUUUCUUGGAACGGGUGUUUGCAAGUGUCAAAGGAGCUAGAUCGACUUGGUGUCCGUGUAGCAAAUGUGGAAACAUGCGUCGGCAAACCAAGCUAGACAUGGGCAAACAUCUUGUGAAGAACGGUUUUACGGCAGACUACACCAGGUGGACCUACCAUGGUAAAGCCGAUUGUGGGAGAGACGAGGUCUUGAGACAACGUAUAGAGGAAUAUGAUGAUGGCGCUGGGGUGGGAGACAUGUUAAAUGACUAUCAUGAAGCACACUUCGAUGAUGCACGUCGGGAGGAGGAGCCAGAGGCUACUGCAAAGGCUUAUUACGAGAUGUUAUCUGCGGCACAGCAACCCCUUCACAGGCAUACCAAGGUUUCUCAACUGGAUGCCAUUGCACGCCUAAUGGCUGUGAAGUCUCAGUUUAGCUUGAGUCGAGACGCUUUCGAUAUUAUGCUGACAGUUUUUGGAAGCCUACUCCCGGAUGGACACAUCUUGCCAAAGAGCAUGUAUGAGGCACAGAAACUCCUUCAUGCACUUAAGAUGCCAUACGAGCAUAUACAUGCUUGCCCGAAGGGAUGCAUCUUAUUUAGGAAAGAGUAUGCGGAAGCAAAGUACUAUGUGAAGUGCGAAUCGUCUAGGUUCCUAGAGGUAGACUCUGGUGAUGGUCAGAAGAAGCAGCUCGCAAUCCCCGUGAAGGUUCUACAGUAUCUUCCUUUCAUACCGAGGAUCCAAUGGCUUUACAUGACUGAAGAAUCCAUAAAACAGAUGACAUGGCACAAAAACAGACGUCGAUACAAUCCUGAGAAGCUGGUAUACCCAUCCGAUGGUGAAGCCUGGACAAGGUUUGAUGCGAUUUAUCAUGAGAAAGCUCUAGAGGCCCGUAAUGUACGUGUUGUGUUGGCAAAAGAUGGGUUCAAUCCUUAUGGAAUGAUGGCCGCCCCGUACACCUGUUCGCCCAUGUUCGUUAUGCCCCUCAAUCUCCCCCUGGCGCCCUCUUUCAACGACAGAAUAUAUUCUUGUCGUUGAUAAUUCCAGAGCAUCCGGGUAAUAAUAUGAGUGUGUACAUGGAGCCUCUGAUUGAUGAUUUCAUCUGUGCUUGGGAGGAAGGGGUAUGGACAUAUGACCAAGCUACAAAGACAAACUUCAAGAUGCAUGUUUGGUACCAAUACUCCCUGCAUGACUUGAUGAUAUUGAUAUUGAUGCCAGAGUUCAAGAUGCCAGAGUUCGAUCUGAGCUCUGAGGAUAUUGAUGGAGAAAUCGUGAUGAGGGUGGGAGGAGGCAAGAAGCAUGGCUGGUAUUGGAUUGGCGACGGCGUAAUCAACACGGCCUCUACUCCCACUCUCUCCCAAAUCCGAGCAAGGAGCACAGACUCGAGCCUGGUGAUACGGCCACGACCAACCACUGCACAGUUCCUGAUGGAGGCUCUCUAGGUUCUUUCUCUUCCAUUCAUCGUUCGUUGGUUGUUAUGUACUUUAGCUUUGCAUUGUAACAUUGCAAUGAAAUAUUGUAGGCCCAGGUGGAAGCAGCAAGGAAACAACAAGAGGAGAUGGCGGCGAGGAUGGAGCAGAUGGUUCAGCAGAGGAUAGAGGUUGAGCGAUAGAGGAUGGAGGAAGAAAAUCGGAUGAGGAUGGACCAGAUGUUCCAGUACAUGCAGAAUUUUGCUUCGAGCAUGGGUCAAUCUUUGCCACCGCCACCGAUGUUGUUCUGUCCCCUCCACCUCAGCCACCCACAACUACUCCUGUGAGUCACUUGACACAUUAUGCUUAAGAUUGAAUAAUUUAAUUUUGACAACGUUAGAUGUUAGCUCAGAAUAUCCUAUCCUAUGUGCAGAAUCAAUCGGCGGCUUCGAAUACUGAAGACCAAGAUUUGUCGCAGUGGUCUCCUUGGCCUCCACAGUUUUAGACUUUGCAUUUGUGACUUGAACUUGGAUGAAACUUAGUUGUGACUUCAACUUGGAUUUAUGGUUUAUUUCAUGCUUACUUUGGAUUAUGUCUGUGAUGUUUAUGAAUAAUGCUUGUAAUAGUGGUUGUGAGUUGUGCCUGUGAUUGUUUAUUAUAAAUGCCUGUGAUGAUGUGUAUUGUGAAUUAGGAGGGGUCCGUUAUACGUGACACAAUAGGUAAAAAAGGGGGGCACUGUCAACUUUGCCGAGUGUUACACUCGACAAAGAGGGGCUUUGCCGAGUGUUUUGGCUUUAACACUCGGCAAAGGGGGCAGUUGCAACACUUUCUGGUGCUUGUUUGCCAAGUGUAUUGGCUUAAACACUCGGCAAAGAAGGCAUAACAUGCUCCUGGUGACCCAUGUUUGCCGAGUGCCAUGACCCCGACACUCGACAUAUGUUUAUGUAUUUGCCGAGUAUCGAGCGACCGACACUCGGCAAACGUUAAGAUUGUUGCCGAGUGCCACGCGUCCGACACUCGACGAACUUAAAUUUUUUGCCGAGUGUCUGCCAUCUGACGCUCGGCAAACUUGCCGUUAACAUGGACGCCGUUACUGCCCCUGUCGCCGAGUGUUUAUCUUCGUCGAGUGUUUUUUUGACCUUCGGCAGACCCUUUGUCGAGUGCCCGAUGUUUGACACUCGGCAACCAGCUGUUUGCCAAUGCAAAAUUUGCCUUGUGCUAAAUGUCGUGUUACACUCGGCAAACACUUUUGCCCAGUCCAGGACAAAAGGGGGAAUCUUUUGUCCCGGCUGGAAUUUCCAACUGGGACUAAACCUCCUCCCUAUAAAUCCAACCAGCCCGAAACUCUUUUUCCUUACCAGCCCAAGCCACUCUACUAGAGACAUCCUCCUCUCCAUGGAGAGCAAGCAACCUUAGGGGAGGUGCUGAUCGAAUUUUCUCCUCAUUCCCAUGGGGAUUUCACUCAUCCAAAGUGUUGUGAAAGUUAGCUACUUCAUCCUCCCUUCAUUUAUUGUUAUUACGCUUUGUUUUAUGCUUUAGAGAGGGAGAAAAAAAAGUUUUUUAGAAUGAGGGAGAAUGGAGAGAAUUUUUAUUUAUAUAUUUUUUGAGCUAGAAUUUGAUGGAUAGCUUGCUUGUUACAUAUGAUUCGUAUUAGUAAAAAGAACUUGAUCAAUAUUAGGUAUGGGAAAAAAUAGAGUAAAUAUGUGUUUAAUAUUUAGUCAUUACAAUAAAAUUGAGGUAAAUAAAUUGUAGGCGUAAGAAAAUAGAAUUUGGUCAUUGCUAAAAUUUUUCAUGUCACUAUAAUUUAAUAAUAAUUGUAUUUAUUUGACCAAUAAUUUAUUUAUCUCAUGUUUAAUGCAAGAACUAAAUACUAUAAAUACACUUACUCUACUUUUUCCCCUACCUAAUAUUGAUCAAGUUAUUAAUGUAAUACUAAGACCUAUGUUCAUUUUCCACGUAAUAUGAUGCAGAUGGACCGACAAUGGAUGUACCACCUCCGUUCCUCCAAUCUCAGAGAACAGUGUCUGUACAUGGCAUAAUGUGCUUUUACUAUUCUCUGGACAUAACUCAAUCUUCUCCAAAAUCUAUGGGAAGUCACCUCCGCUCCUCCAGUACUAGAAAAUAAUGGUAGAACAGAAGAGCUUUGAAUCCACAAACACAGGUUGAAUAUCAUAAAAGAAUCUUGAAAUAGUAUUCCAAACUCCUUUUGGAGCCUAAUUCUCACAAUAGAAGUAUGCUGGCCUAAUAUCCUCUUCAGACAAAGAUUUAUUCACUGACCUUGACCUAGCAGCAUUUUGUUGGUUUUGGCUUGCCUCCAUGGGCCAUGCUCACUGAACAGAUCUUUUGCCUGUACGAGCUAUUGUGUGUGUGCCACCACACUUCUAUUAUGAGAAUGUGGCACUUGCUCCAAAAGACAUUUGGACAAUUAUUUCAAGAUUCGUUUACGAUAUUAAGCCCGAGUGUGUGGAUUUGAGGAUCUUGUGUUGUACCAUUAUUUUCUGGUACUGGAUAUGUGGAGGUGACUUUGGAUAGACUUUGGAGAAGAUUGACUUAAGUGCAGAGAUGGCUUGGAGGGCGAACAUUCUGCUAUGUUGUACCAUUAUUUUAGGAUAAUUGACUAUGUGAAGUCCAUUAAAGAGUGUAUGUAAUCUUUAGUGUACAUGUAUCUUUAUUGUCUUAUUAUGAGUGUAAUCUUAAUAUGUAUAUUUAGUGAUUGUUAUGAAUGUUGAAUGGUGUAAUUUUCAUGUGAAUUGUUUUUAUCUUUAUGAAGGUUGAUUGGUGUAAAUUAUGAAUAUUGAUCAAGUUCUUUGUCUAAUACGAAGACCUAUGUCCAUUUCUCAUUUAAUAUUUAUUUAUCUAAUAUUUUUUGCAAGGACCAAAUAUUAUUAUCACAUUAACUUUAUUUUUUCCCUACCUAAUAUUGAUAAGGUUCUUUAUCUAAUAUGAAAACCUAUAUCCAUUUCUCAUGUAAUUCGAUGCAGAUGGACCGGAAAUGGAUGUAUAACGCGGACAGACGGACCAAGGAGUUUGUUGAUGACUUGCAUUAUUUUCUCAAAGUGGCCAACAAGCCAACAAAUUUUCCAUUGCUUAUUUGAAUCUUCUGUUUUAUGCAUCUAUUCUGAUACUAUAGUUUGCAUAUGUUGCUCUUGUAAUGAAUUUUGCUAUAGUUCUUGCCAGUUUUUGGCAUUCUCAAGAAUAGAUUUGUGAAAUCUUCCUUUUCAUAAUCAUGCAUGCCUUUGUACUUCAAAAGUAAAGGAUGAUGAAAUUUUCCUUUGUUAUUUGAAUCUUCUGUGUUAUGCAUCUAUUCUGGUACUAUAGUUUGCAUAUCUUGCUCUUGUAAUGAAUUUUGAAAUAAACAAAUCAUUAAUGCGUUUCACUGGGUCAACACUAUUUCAUCUGCAAAAAAGGAGGUCAUAUGGCGAAAGACUGCCCUGGUAAGCACAAGAGGAAUAAUCAUCAAUCCACUUUGUGUUUAAGAUGAGGAGAAAUAGGUCACGAUAUGUUUGGAUCACUACGGGAAACUUUAAAUUUGCCGAGUAUUUUCUUUUUGCCGAGUGUUUUUUUUCGGACACUCGGCAAACAAGCUCUUCGCCGAGUGCCAAGCCAAAAACACUCGGCAAAAAAAAAACACUCGGCAAAUCGUGGCUUUGCCGAGUGUCAAAUAAAAAACACUCGGCAAAGCCCCCUCUUUGCCGAGUGUCAAAAAAAACACUCGGCAAAGAGGGGGUUUGCCGAGUGUCAAAAAAAAACACUCGGCAAAGAGGGGGGUUUGCCUAGUGUUUUUUUUGACACUCGGCAAAAAAAUAAAUUUUUUUUUCUCUUUUCACCAUGAAAUUUUUUCUACUCCCCACAUACAACAUGUGGUACUCCAUGUUAAAAUUUGGUAUAUUUUUGAAUUUAUUUGCUGUAUUUAAUUAAUUAAUUGCAUUUUAAGGGAAUUUUUGGUAUAAGUCAAAUUUGAACUGCAAGUGAUUCAAAUUAUGGAAUAAAAUGAGUAGAGAAAUGAUAUUCAUGUUAUUUGGACCAAUUUGAGACCUGACCCAUGAAAUGAAAAGAAAUUUUGAACAUCUUGUUCAGGAAACACGACCAUGAACGUGUCGUAGUAGUAUUUUUAAAUUGUAAAAAAAACAAUCAAAGUCUGAAAAUCUUAAGAUUUGUCAUGAUGUGAUGAUAUAAUACGUGGAGGCUGUGAAAAAAAAUUGAGAAGGUUUUGCACAUUUCAUCAUGUACGAUGAUUACAAACCGAAGCAUCUCAGAAGAAGAAUAGUAACUUUAAGAAGGAUUCGAUAAAAUUUAGAGUCGAAGUGACGGUCGAGUUCGGUUUGACUACAAAACUUUUUGUAUAGUCAGUAGAAAACCUAUAUUGGUUCGUGUGAAAAUUUAGUAAUUUUUUGAAACUGUUGGAUAUUUUUUAAAUUUUUUUCAAAAAACGUUUGCCGAGUGUCCUACGUUGGACACUCGGCAAAGAAACUCUUUACCGAGUGUCCACGUAGGACACUCGGCAAACCAAGUGCCCGGCCCCCUCAAUAAGUGCCGCCCGGCCGGCCCCCCUCUCACUACUCCCCUCACUCCCUCCUCUCUCCCUCCUCUCUCCCUCCCGCCGCCGCCCGAAGGCCCCCGCCACCGCGCGCCGCCCGGCGCCCCCCGCCGCCGCCCGCCGCCCAGCGCCCCCCGCCGCCGCCCGGCGGCCCCGGCCCCCCCGCCUGCCGCCCGACGCCCCGCGCUCCCGGAUCCACCACCGCCCGCCCGGCGCCGGGCCCCCAGCCCCCGGAUCCGCCGCAGCCCGCCCGGAUCCGCCGCCGCCCGCCCGGUGCCCGGCCCCCGGCCCCCGGAUCCACCGCCGCCCGCCCGGCGCCCGGCCCCCGGCCCCCGGAUCCGCCGCAGCCCGCCCGGAUCCGCCGCCGCCCGCCCGGCGCCCGGCCCCCGGCCCCCGGAUCCACCGCCCGCCCGUCCCCUCCACCGGAUCCGCCGGCGCCGGGGCCUGAAGAGAAGGCCUGAAGAGAAGAGGAGAGGAUGGUGGCGGCGGCGGCGGGGGCGGAGCAGUGGCGGUGCGUGAUUUUUUUUAUUUUUUCAAUAAUUGUUCGCCGAGUGUUUUCUGGGCACUCGGCAAAGUCUUUGCCGAGUGCCCGACACAAAACACUCGGCGAACUAGUGUUUGCCGACUCGAUAUUUGCCGUGUGCCGUUUGCCGAGUGUUACACUCGGCAAACGGUUUGCCGAGGGUAUUCUGCCCUUCGCCGAGUGCCCCUAGCACUCGGCAAUUUGCCUGUGUCCGGUAGUGGAUGUACCAAUGAUUACCCAGCAGAUGAUAUUAAGGUGAGUGUUUCUUUCUCUUGUUUUAGCUAAUAUGUUAUCUUGCUAUCAUGGAUUUUUUGUUUGUUGGUAUUUGUUUUUCAUGCUCUCCUCUCUAGUAUUGGUCUGAAGAAAAAUGCAUAUAGAAGAAUGAAAUUUUAGGUAGUUUUUUUUUUGUUUUUGAGUGCAAAUCGUGUCUGGGCUAGGUGACUAGGCUUUAGGACACAUGAUUCUAUGAACUGGGUAAAUUUUAUGCUGGGUCUUGCCUUUCAGUGGUGGCACGAUCCCUGAAUCUUGCAUGUACAAUUUUGCAAACCACUGGAAGGUGCCCUCUAGAAGAGCUUUCCCCUUAUUAAUAACUGUUUCGGAUCAUGCAGCAAAUAAGAUGCUACAUGUGUAAUCAGAAUGGUCAUCUAUGCUGUUUCGACUUCUCUGACAAUAGCCCCAAACAAAUUAGCUGUUACAAUUGUGCCAAAUCUGGUCAUUCUGGUCUGGUAAGUUUUAAUGCUUAUAAGUUAUUAUUUGUGCUGUUUCCAUAUGUUGCUUUUCAUGGCAGGUGAUUAACAUUGGGCCUUCUAUUCUAGGGGUGUGCCAAGCAACGCAGGGAAACUAGUGCUGUCAUAACUGCAACCCAGUGCUACAAAUGUGGCGAGGAAGGCCACUUCGCACGUGGCUGCACAAAGAAUGCCAAGGUUGUUAUAAGCAUCUCACAAAUUGUCUGCCAAUUAGAGUUAACUGUGUAUUUAUGCCGUUCUGUUUCUUUUUUUUUCCCAGUCCGAUCGGUCGAAAGGCAAGUCAUCAUCGCACAGUCAGAGAAAGGAAAAAUGGAAAAAAGAUUCCAGUGCUAGAUCGGCUCCUCAUGAUGCCCGUAAAACAAGUAAAAGGAAAAGCCCCCAUUUCGAGGAUAGAAUGGAGAAGCCAUACACGAAUCACCAGUUCUCAUCUGGCGGUGACUACUUCACGCCUCAGUCCUCACGAAGGCACAACCAUGGUUUCGCAUCACCAAACUCGAAUUAUUCACCCAGCGCAAAGAAGCACGGGUUCUCAUCGUCAAGAUUCGCCACCAGCAACACCCAUCUCCGGUUCGAGAGAAGUUAGCUGGACGGAUGAGUCCAAUUUUGUUGUUCUUUAGCUUAAUUGAUUAUUAUUGUCCCCUGGUUACUACACUGACGUACGGCAAGGAGAAGGUGACGGUGGAUGAAAUUGUUGCUGCUUUGCUUUCUCAUGAGCAGAGGAGAAAAAACAAUUCAACUAAAGAGUCUUCUGGGAGUGCUUUAGUCGUCAGGCGUGAUAAUGGUGAUGAAGACAAGAAGGACAACAGGAAGAAGAAGGGACCGCAGUGCUAUAAGUGCAAGGAGUGGGGACAUAAGAAAGCAGAGUGUCCGAAACUGAAGAAGGGUAGUGGAAUCGCAAAUGUGAUGAUUGCCAGGAAGCAGGAUGAUUCAGAUAGCGAUGGUGAUGUUCUCACAGUGUCAAGUGAAAAGUCUUGCGAAGCGUGGUUAUUGGAUUCAGCUAGCUCGUUUCAUGCAACACCAAAGAAGGAGUGGUUCUUGUCAUACAUUGAGGAGGAUGGUGGUCUUGCUCACUUGGGAGAUGAUUCGGCUUAUCGUAUCAUUGGAGUGGGUGAUAUCAAGUUCAAGAUGUGUGAUGGUCAGGAGAAACUACUCAGGGGUGUGAAGCAUGUACCGGGGCUACAGAGGAAUCUGAUUUCGCUUGGGAUCUUGCAUGAAGAAGGAUGGUUGUAUCAGGCAGCGCCUGAUAAGAAGACCUUGAGAGUCAUGCAUGGAGGCAAGACGGUCAUGAUUGGUGAGAAGUCAAGUGCACACCAAUACAAGCUGAAGGGAAGCGUUGUUGAAGGUGGAGUCAUGCAUGGCAAUGCAACUGUGGCGGUGUUCUAUCCGGAUGUUGUCGAGGUGGCAGCAGCCUCUCGUCAGGGCUGUUCUAAGUGAGCAACAAAGGAGACGACUCAAGUCUGGUACGUGGAGGUUCGCACAUGGACAGCUCAAGGUGGCGUGCAUAUUCGCCAAGGUGGAGUUUGUUAGAUAUGUGUCGAAUAUGUGUACAGUUUGGUUACGAUUGGACUUGAGUUGUAAUUUGGUAGGUUAGGGAUAGAGUCUCGGUCGUACUUAGUAUCCCUAUAGUCCAUAAAUAUGUGGGCACUACCGUUGUAACCAUGAGACGACUUGGCGGCUGGUGUGGGCGGCGGCGAGGCCGCGGUGGUGCCCGGAUGCCGGUGUAGCUGCUGUUUAUGGGGAGGAGCGCCCGUAGUCAUGCCCCGAGGAUGUAGGCACAUGUCCGAACCUCGUUAAAAAACAUCGUGCCUCGGUGUCGUUCUCGUUUGUGUGAUCUUGCGGUUUGGCUUCGCGUUCUUGGGUUAUCGCUUCCGCGUUCCUAUUCUAACAUUCCCUUCGAUAGCUGUUUGUCUUUUAAGAUUAUAUAUGUAUCAGGGUUCCAUUUUGUUGACUCUAAGCAAGCUCACUUGGCGUUGUGCUCCAGUUCAUGCCUACUGCAAAGCAGCAAGAAAACAAACCUCUGAACAUCAGACAGUUGCACACACAUUAUCCAUAACCAUCACAACACAAUUCACGACACAUCUAGCAUUCGAUGGUGGUCAGCAGGCGAGGAGCUACUGUUCUGCCCGGUAGCGAGGAGCCAAAACGCGUAUUGAUGCUUAAGAUGAACCGGGGAAGAGGGGGAGCCGGUGGAUCUAGAAAAUAUGGCUUACCCGACUCCAACUCUAGCACGCGCUAUAAUGCGUGGAGCCGGAGUCAGCAGGAGCUGUGCCAAACACUUAUUGAUCUCAUAGGGAUAACAUAUGUAUAUAAUGUUGGUUAGGUAAGAGUGACUAUAUAAACAAAUCGUCUCAUAGUAUCAUCUAGGCAUGCUAAUGGGUUGAAACCCGUCCCAACCCGCAAUAAAUUAACUCAUUCACCCACUCCGCCCCGCUCCAUAAUUCUAUUGUCUAAACCCAACCUAAGCCGCUACACCAAUUGAUAUAACCCAUGGGUUUGGUAUAUCAACCUACGAGCACUACUAGAUAACUGACUUUAGAUACCACCCCCUUUAGUCUCGGUUUAAUUUCGGCCUGAGAGAAAAGGGGGUGCGCCAUGGUAGGCUGGAAUGGGGCGCACCUUUACUCUCGGUUCCUUUUUUGCAACCGGGACUACAUGCCACCCUUUAGUCUCGGUUAAAACAGCUAGUUUCCAGGCAGCGACGGUGCCACCCUUAACCCCCGGUUGGAGCCAUCAACCGGGACAAAAGCUUAAACCUUUUGUCCCGGUUAGAGUUACCAACCGGGAUAAACAUUUAUUACCAACCGGGACAAAAGAUUAGAUCUUUUGUCCCGGUUGGAUUUACCAACUGGGAUAAAAUCUUAUCUACAAGUACCCUUUCUUCCUCCUCCACUCCUCCAGCUCGAGCCACUCCACUCCACAAAGACAGAGAAGUGAAUCCUCUCCAUGGCGCCGAAGCAAGCCUAGGGGAGGUGCUGCUGAAAUAUUUUUAACUCAUUUCCAUGGGAAUUUCACCCAUCCAAAGUGUUGUGAAGGUUAGCUACUUCAUGCUCUAUUCACUUAUUGUUGUUAAGCUUUGUUUUAUACUUUAGAGAGGGAGAAAAAUUAGUUUGUUUGUUGUUAAGCAUGUAGAGGAUUUGUAUUUAUACAUGUUUUUGAGCUACAAUGUGAUGGAUAGUUUGAAUGUGAGCGAGAAUGGAUAGUAAAUGUGAGGUAGAAUUGAGAUUAUUUCAAUUUUAUGUAUUAGGGACAAAUUUGAGUAAUUGUGUUUUUAAUACUUAUAAAUUAGCCAUAUAAAUUGUAGGUGUAAUUUGAUACUUUGAUACUUUAGUACUUUUCAGAUAGAGGUAUGCAAAAUAUUUGUAAAUUAAAUAUGAGCUAAAUAUUUUGUGGUACAUAGAGAUGGCUUCUGAUGCUGGAUGUAGUGGCGAUGGUGGGGGAGAUCGUCGUUCCUCCCGUGGCAAGGGGAAAACCAUAGUGUAGAAUUUAUGACUAGUUAAAACUUAUUGUAAACAAACUUGCUAAUUUAAUAUAUUUUUGCAUGUUUGAAAUAUGUAAAUUUCUUAUUUUUCGCUUCGUGAAAUCCAGUGAAAACAUAAAUCGAAUAAAUUUUCAAAUAGAAGCAAAAAGAAAUAGUAUAGAAUUUAUGACUAGUUAAAACUUAUUGUAAACAAACUUGCUAAUUUAAUAUAUUUUUGCAUGUCUGAAAUAUGUAAAUUUCUUAUUUUUCGCUUCCUGAAAUUCAAUGAAAACAUAAAUCGAAUAAAUUUCCAAAUAGAAGAAAAAAAUAGUAUAAAAUUUAUGGCUAGUUAAAACUUAUUGUAAACAAACUUGCUAAUUUAAUAUAUUUUUGCAUGUCUGAAAUAUGAAAAUAUCUUAUGUUUUGCAUACUGAAAUCAAGUGAAAACAUAAAUCGAAUAGAUUUCCAAAAACCAGAUGAAAAACAGGAGAAGGCCCCCAUUUAUCCCGGUUAUAAAAUAGAACUGGGAUAAAAGGGACUUUUUGAUUCCCGCCUGGAAGUAUCCAUUUAUCCCGGUUGAUUAUAAACCAAGAUAAAGGAGGGGGGCUUUUAUCACGGUUCAUCAUAAACUGAGAUAAAAGAUCCCCUUUAUCUCGGUUUGUAUUAGGAACCCGGAUUAAAUGUCCUUUAAUCCCGGUUGCAGUUACAAACCGGGAUAAAAAGGGGGUCUUGUAUAAAAGUUACAACGUCUUCUACACUCCCUCCGCCCAACACUUAGCGAAAUUUUCACUCGUCAUCCUCGUCCUACCCGUCGCCUGCCUCCGCCGUCGCCGCUCUCCUCCCUCUCUCCUUCUUUCUUAUCCUCUCUUCUUCGUUCCACGCAGGCGCAUAGGUGCGGAGGCGGGUGGCCAGGCGUCCGGAGGUGGCGGGCGUUGUGGGGCGGCGGUGGGUCAGGCCGGAGCGGAGGUGGGCGUGGGCGGGGCCAAGGCGGCGUGUGGAGCGGGGCGAGGAGGGCGGGGAGCCGCCGGCGGGAGGAGGCCAGGGAGGCGUGGGGCGGUGCAGGGUGGCCGGCGGGCGUGGGCCCGGUGGAAUUGGGGUGAGGUGAAGGUGACUAGGAUAUGGCACGGAGCACAAUGGUCAUCAUGACGUGGAGAACUCUUGGGACAGAGAACGAUCUUGAUUGCCGUUAUUGGUCAUCAGGACCGAAACCAGUUCAGUGGUGUACAUACCGACGAAAUUUCAGAAAAGACUAUAUAACUAGAACACUCAUUUCUGAGUCAUUGCAAACACUCUAGUAAGAACUACUGCAAGAAGUUUGUUGGAACGGACAGCUUGGACAAUGAGCUUGAAACACUAGCUCCUCCUAUAGACAGGAGAGGACAACAGGUGGGACACCGAAGAAUCUAUUGCAGGGUUAGUUCCACGAACGACCCACCAUGGUUCAUCGGAUCAGAUCAUCAGGCGAGGCCGUGCUGGUCCAGGAGCAGGCGCCACCAGUCUGUAAGAAAGCCAAUCGAACGUAUAGGACCAUCAGAAAACCCACCAGGCAAUUUAGGCACAAGAAGAAGAAGAAAAAGAAGAAGAAGAAGAAGUGGAGAUUAUUGGUACCACGGUCGCCCUGCUCGUGCAGAUACAGGAAGUGCAGGCCUGCCUCUCGAAGUGUCUUUGACCUGACGACACAACCCUUGCGUUUGCACAGAUAACCGCCUUGGUGUUGGUCCUUGCAGUGGUCCUCGAGCUGUGAACCAACGCAAGCACCAAGCAAGCCACCAAUAAUGUCAGAAACAAGAAUGCUUGCUGCUUUGUUAUUAGUUGAAGAACUAGCAAGAGAGGGAUUCCUACGUACUUUUUCUCUCUUCAAGGACCUCAACGACCCCUCGUGGAGGAAGCAGAUUUCACAAAUUUCUUUGUCCUUCUUGCCGAGCAGCUCCUUUGCUCGGCUCUGGCAAAGCUUCGCGUAACAAAGGGCGACGUCGUCGUCGUGGUCCUGGCGCUCCCGGAAGAGCUCGGCGAGGCCGUAUCCGGGAUCGCACUGCAACCAUUCGUCACAUCGUCAUUCAACAGAAAGCAGUCAAGAUUCGAGAGGACACGCAACUACGCAACGCAAAAAACAGAGGCCGCCGAAACCAAGAAAUAAAGCGGCGGCGGCGAGACGAGGAGGGGAGAAGCCGAGAAGGAAACACGCCGGCGAAGAAACCCAAGAAAGUACCGGAGACGGAGAGCGACGCGGACCCCUUCCCUUCGCCUCCUUCGCCUUCCCCUGCUUCCUAGGCGCGGCGGCGGGGUUGUUGGGCGCCACGUUCGCGGGCUGCGCUCCCUGCGCCCCGUGUUCGGCGUGCGCCGCGUCGGGGCCGGGCUCCCCAGCGCUGCCGGUGGCGUUGCCGUCGUCGUUGGGGACCUCCUCGCCGCCCGCCGCAGGGCCGUGCGCCGCGUCGGCGAUCCACUCCUGGAUCCUCGCCAAGGGGCCCUGAAGCGGAGGCGGAGGCGGACACCCCUGCCGAGGCGGCGCACCGCGGCGCUGCUUGCGGUGGCCACGCGCCAUGGUGCCUUGGCGAGCGCGAGGGCGCGGGCGAGGAGAGCAGAGAUUUUCGGCGUGGGCUUCCUCGGGAAGAUUGGUGGUUAGGAAGGAAGGCAAGCACGUGGGAGGAAGAGGGUUCUAGCUUCGGGGGAGGCGCGCGGGUGGGGGAACUAUAUAUUUGAAGGGCUGCCAACCGACUUGACGACGCCGGCGUGGCAUCCUACAGAAGCAUUGUACAGAAGCAUGUCACAAGUCGGCCCACUAAGGUUGAUAAUCAUGUUCCUCCUGGCCGUUGCCCGCUAAGCUGCGGCUUCCCCUGCCACCGCCUACUGUGCCGGCGGCGCAACGACGACUCAGUGCACCGUCUUGUGCACUCCGCUGAUGCCGUCGUGCCCUGCCCUUCCCGAAGAAUCUCUCCAGCCAUCACGCUGCCCGUGCCGACACCACCCACCACCGGUCGCAGCCCACCCGUCUGAGUUGGGUUUAGGGAUGGAAACGUGGAAAUGGAUAUCCGAAUUAUCUGGAUCCGUAUCCACUAAAACGAUAAAUAUGGAUAUCCGUAUUCGUAUAUGAAUUUAACGUGGUACUAAAAUGGAUACAUCCGAAUUCGUUUUUCUUAAUUUUCUCUAUCCAAUUCCACAUUCGUAUUCGAAAAUACCCGACAAUAUACGUAUCCGACCAUAUGAAACUAUUAGUUAUCUCUAUAACUAAUGGUAAAUGAUGCUACUUUAAAUAUUAAUAAUGACAAUAUAUCAUUAAAACUAUUCAAAAUUUAUCUUUAUAACUAAUAGUUAAUUAUAUUAAUUUUAUUAUCACUAAUAUUGUACCCAUAAAACUAUUUAAAAUUUAUCUCUAAUUUUUGUGACCAAUGUCAUUAAAUUUAAUAAUAAAUAUAUGUGAAUAUUAAUUUUAUUUUUAAAUACUCUAAUUUAUUUAUCAAUAAAAACUUGUUUAUACAAUUUUUAUUAUUCAUUGAUAAAUUUUUAUAUUUAUUGAAAUAUAUAUUUAUCCAUAUAUUAUUUUUUCAUAGAUUGCACUAUUUCAAAUAAUUAUUAAUUAAUGCAAUAUUUUCAUAAGCGAUUUUUGUUUGCACUAGUUAGUUAGGUACUCAUACUUUAGUGUCUACUUGUAUAAAAGUUUUGUUAUUAAAAACCAUCAACAACUAAAAUUGGUAAAUGUUAUCCUCAAACUGAGUAAAUAUCCGAUGGGUAUCCAAAUUCGAGACAUUCGUUUUGUAUUCGUAUUUGAAAACAUCCUAAUUCGUAUUUGUAUUCGACUGAAAAUGUGGUAAAAAGUGCUAUUCGGAUCCGAUUCCAUGCGAAUCCGAUCCGAAGUCCAUCCCUAGUUGGGUUACCGUCUCGAGUUUGACACCAACGACUUUUCGGAUGCAACGUAGAGUAACUUCUCUAGAAAAAUAACUGGUGCAUGUAUAUGGUAACAUAUUAAUAAGUUCUCACGGAAAAUUGGAUGAUGUGAUUAAUUGGAUGAUAAGCAAGGUCCUUCUCCUUGGUAAUUGUGCCUUUAUGAGAUAUGUCUAUCAAAAGAGAACGGAGGGAGUAGUUCAAAGAUCAUUUCCAAAAGACAUGUAGUUCAAAUGCGAAGGAAUUCCAAAACAUAGACACAAAUAUAUUUAAGUUCUAAAAAAGUGUAUAUUAUUGCUUACAUUGUAAAUAAUUUUAUUUCAUGAAUAAACAUACUAAAUAUUGAUUAUAUUAAAUAUUUAUGCAAGAAUGACAAAGUUAUCUAUUUGUCACGUUAGACCAUUCUUGGGAGGAUGGAAUUGACAAUGAAUAUUGUGCUUUGGUAAGAACUCAAAUUUAGGGAGACUAUUACCUCAGUUUUUAAUGUUUUUCGGGGAUGUUAUUACGAUGUAUUUCAAUUCCCAACUAAUUUUUGACUCUGAGGAAUAUCUGACUUUUCUCUGCAAUUUUUCAUAUGGCUUAGAUGUGCAAAUCUUACAUAUAUGUUCUUUCAUAAUUUACAUAUCAUUUUUACAACACAUGUAGUUGAUAUGCAAAGUAAUUCCAGGAAAUAGGCAGAAACACAUACUUCUCAUCUAAACUCCGAAUCGGGUGUUCUAUAUAUGCAUUUUGAUUGUGUCGAUGAGAGAUACGUUAUGGUGAAGUCCAAUUUGCAAUUUGAGCAGUUUAUCUAAACCAGUCUGAUCGGUUUAGAGACCGGUUCGCUCAAAUAAAUUUUGGUCGUCAACAGGUAGCAAAAAUAUCAAUUCCUUAUGGAACGUAAUAUUGGCAUUCCAUUCAUACGCUGUUCAUUGGUGACUUUAAAUGGCAGCCUUUAUCUUUAGUCCUUUUUCUGCACAUUAUGUACCUGAUGCAAUUAGUGUACAGUUGUAACAUGCACUUGACUCCUGAGCACAUAAUUGGCAUUAGAGCCUGCCAUAUAUCAUGUCCGUUGUUUUACUAGAAAGAAAACCUAGAAAGAAACUUUUGGUUUAAGUCAUAUUUACGCAACAUACUGCAAUAGUUGGAUUGUAGUGUUAGAUGACUUUAUUUGUGAAAUAAAACUGCAGUAUGUGCUUAAAGCUGUUCAAAGUGGCUAUAUUCAUUCUCCCAGGUUGAAUCCUGCCCUUUUAUUUUGGUAGUGACUUGUUUGCUUGGGCUUCUAUUUAUUUGUGCGAAAAUGAUUGUCAUCUGUGAUAGCUUGAAAGGGGAGACAGCCUUUAUCUUUAGGACUCUUUCUGCCUGUUAUGUAGCCUAACCUGAUGCAUGCAAUGUGUAGGACCAACACGCAUUUUUCUCAAGAGCAUAUUUUUGGCAUUAGACCCCAGUUUCAAGUAAUUAAGAACCUAAAUCAAAUAAUCAACAUGGUGAUUAAGAAGCAAAUCAAAGCUAACUCCAAAUUUCUGAGAGUAAGGUCCAAAAAUACGUCAUAUUUUGAACCAAGUGUUAAAACUCCCUCCUGUUGAGAAUCACUUGUGAAG
rnacentral:lncRNA from 1 species